ACCAAAUGGAAUUAAAAUGAUUUGCUAAGUAUCAAAAAUCAAGAGUUCUACAAAAAAUUUACGAAUUAGUACGAUAAAAAUAGUUAAAAUCUCUCAGAUGAUUCAGUUAUUCAUUAACCCACUGGCAAUUCAUAUGAUUAAUGCAUGUUGAUUAUAGUCAUCAGUGGUAAUUUUACACAUAUUUAAACUAAAGUACUGUUUUUCUAACUUAAGCUGAAAAAACGAGACCUCCUUCUUCUCCUUCUUUCUCUCCUUCUUCAUCUUCUUCUUCUUCAUGUAACUUGAUCUUCUGGUAUGUUGUGGCUGCGAAUUGACUAUCAGAAACCACGUAAUCAAAAGGUGCAGUCAAUGGGUAAACAAAUAACUCCCUCAAGUUCACAGGCCCAACUACUCCAGGAUCUGCACUCCACAUCAAAUGUGCCAUUUGUUCGUUUGCCUUCUCUGUCCCAUGUUCCCCGUCGAAGAACAAGUACUUCCCCGGCUUCUCGCAUUUCUUUGAAUCAUCCCCUUCAUCACCAUGUUUUAUCUUACAUGCCCCUGUUUCUCGAAUAGAACAACACGCGUUCUUCUUCCUGAACCCUUUUAAGCAAAUGUUUAUACAUCAAUUAUAACAUUACUUUCAAUUAAGUACAUACAUAAUCAUAAUAUAACUUUUAAAUAAAAACUAUAGUUUGACUCCAACCUAAAAGAACCAGACUCCAAAUUAACUUAUACUUUGAGUCGAACCUAAAAAAACCGGACUUCAAAUUAACUUACAUAAUAUAGCUUUAAAAUACAUAGAUGUUUAGAGGUUGGUAGAUACCAUAGAUUUUAACACUGUUGAGUCUCAGAAAGACAGCAUCGUAGUAAUUGAAGACAGUGAAUUGGAACCCAUCUAAGGUUUUAACUAACUUCUGCAGUGUCUCCAAAAGCUUUAUAUUGUGCAGUGCCGCCAUGAUUGUGGGUAGUUCAGCACAUUCAUGGUUACUUUCAAAUAAUUUAUCUGCCACUGGUAAGCAACCCAAGGGUGCCAAAUUCUGGAAGGCAAACUUCCUCCCUCCUCCUCUAUAUAUGGUCUGCAUUGAAAACCCAGAUCAUCAUUUACAGAUCUACUCGUAUAUACACACAUAAAUGGGUUCAUAUGUGUUAAAUUACUUACCUUGAGGACUUGCUCUAUCUCAAGAACGACAUUGUUUAUGAAAUUUUCUUGGUCAAAGAAAGAAGGAUCAGAGUGGGUUAGAGUGUAAUUCAAGUAGUCUUGAGUUCCAAUGUAAAACAAGUAAAGAGCUUCUUCUCGCUCUUGUUGGGUCCAUUUUCGCUUGUUCCUCUCAAAAGUUCUCCCUUGAUUAGCGAAAGUCAUCUGGAAUUUGAGCAGGACAUAUUCAUAAACAAAUACAUAUAGUCGAUAUAUACAUGGAGUGAAAAGAAAUAGGUUAGAAUGAGGGUAAGUGGUUUAGUUACCAGACUCCUGGAGUCUUUACCAAGAACACUAGCAUCAGCAAUGGCGAAACUUGCUCCAUGACUUAUAUCUGCUUGCUUCUCGAGAAAAGGUGGAACUUGAGGAAUACCCAAGAACCCAGCUGAUCUCCAGACAACCAAAAAACAUCAUACAUGUCAAUAUAACCAUAUAUAUAGAUAAGCUGGGAUUACUGAUAAACUGUUAAAGGAUGAAAUUAGAGAAGAAGAGGAUGAUGGGAUGAUUAAUUACCAAUAUAAUCUGGGAUGAUCAACCCAUCAGACCAUCUUCCAGUGGGUCGGCCAAGAGUCAUCCCGUAGGGGAAAAAGUUGGCCGGAACAGGGUGAUUACUGACAAACUGCUUGUUACCGGGAUCAUAGAGGGAAUCCCCAAAAACGAAGAGCUGCUGGCCAUUGCAGGUUCUAAUUGGAUUAAUCAGAACUGUGAUGCUGAGAAACAAGAAGAGAUGAUACGACUUCAGAUUUCCCAUUUUAAUCUUUAUCAUGUUUUUGUUUAUUCUCCCCUCAAAUCCCUCUCUCUCCACUUCUAUUUACGCCGCUUUGAGUUCGUGGUAUUACCAUCUCCUCCCUUCACCCAAUUUUUUACUCAAUAUUAUUAUUAUUAUUAUUAUUAGUGUUAUUAUAUAUAUACGCGUGAUUCACGUGCAGGGAAAAGUUGAUAUGAAGAUAUAUAAUUAGAUUAUCUUUUAAAAUAAAGUAGAUUCCAUAAUUUAUUACAACAACAAGUGAUUAUUUACGCAAGCAAUAAAGUUGAAUAUUUUAUUAUCAAAUUAUGAAUUUUUUUUUAUAAAAAAUUGUAUGUAUGAAUUAUAUUAUUAUUAUUUUUUAUCUAAAUUCAUUAAAAAAUUAUAUUAUAAUAAAUACACAUAUUUCUAUUAAAAAUUUCCACAAUUGAGUCCAGUACUAAGUUAAUAUUUGGAUCUUUAUAUAUAAACAUAUGAAACAAAUAAGCCACGUAGAAAGUUUUAUUUUUUAGAGGAAAAAUAUUUAUAAUAGCAAAGAAUUUUUUUAAUAAAAAUUAUGAAUUCAAAUAGGAUCAUUUCUUUUUAUUUAAAAAUAUAUUAUGAUAAAUAUGUAAAUAAAAUUUAAUUAUAUAAAAAAAUAUAUGUAUUUAUUAAAAAAUUUAUUUGCACGAGGCAGACCACGUUGAAAGCUCCUUUCCCCAAAGAAAGUGUGGUAUGGGAUCCCUUUUCGAUUUUCUCUCCUUAUUUUAUUAUAAAAUUCUGACAUAGUUUUUGUACAUUAACUAAUUUAGACAUAUGUGCAUAUAUAUAUAUAUAUAUAUAUAAAUGUAAAUAUUUAUGUACCUUGCAUUUAAUAAGUUGGUGGAUUCAAGUCAACUGAAUUGAACGCACCACAGUUGGGUUGGAUUUCUUUUCUCAAGAUAUGAUACAUAUGCAUCAAGUUGUAAUUAAAUAUAAUCAAAGAUAUAUUGAACUCAAUGUAUAUGAUGAUUCUAUAGCAGUUAUAUAUUAAAAACUUUAGUUUGCAUCAAUACCCAUGCAUGCAUGUGCAUGAUUUCAAUUUUCAAUGUGUUAGUUUGCCACCCACGAUUCAAUUUUUAAUGUGUUAAUUUGUCAGACACCAUUUUAAUUUUUAAUGUAUUAGUUUACUUAACACAACACGGUAUCGAUUAAUCAUUAAUCAUAAAUUAUUAUUUAUUCUAAUAAUUAAUAUUAUAAGAUUAAAUCAUGAAUUUUAAGUAAAUUAUAUUUUUAUUUGUGUCAUUACAUAAAAGUUUAAUUUGCACUAAUUUUAUCAUUACCCAUGCAUGCAUGAUUUAGAUUCAUGUACAUACAUAAAUUAAAUUUUUAUAUAUGUUAUUAUUUAAAGAUGAUUUAUAUUUUCGAGUUUCUCUCUUAGUUAGUUUAAUCUUUUAUAUUUUAAGUACGUUUCUGGUUUUUCGUGUAAGGGAUGUUAACUGAAAUUUUGAUCUCGCUUCCGCAUUUGAUAUAUUUAAAUACUCAUUUCAUUUUAAUGUUUCCGGAGCCGUUACAUAUGUUAUUAUUUAAAGAUGAUUUAUAUUAUAUUAUAUUAUAUUAUAAUUAGUAUACUUAUUUCAUUGUAAAAUAAUAUUCUAACAUGCACGUGAUGAAUUAAUAUAAAUGAUUAAUAAAAACCUUUAAACGCACUCAAUCCUUAGAUACCUUUCUUGUCCUUUUUCAAUGUUAAAUAUAAUUAGAUAAUUAAUAUAUAAAGUUGAUUAAUGCAGUGUAGUUGUUCAUCCAAAUCUACAUAAAGAUAAGGAUGACAUAUAUAUAUAUAUAUAUUAUAUCUUCGAAAUUAAUUAGCCAUUUAAUAUGAUUUUCCAAAGCAACAGGCACGUGGGUCUAUCGGAUUUAUUACGAUUGAUAUUAUUUUAUAUUCUCGUUUGAUUAAAAACUUUGUUUUUUUUUAUAUUAAGAGCUAUUUUUCUUGGUUUCUGGGUAAUAAGAUUCUAAAUUUAUCACAUUAUUAUUAUUUUAUUUAUUUAUUAUAUAUGGAAAAAUAGCUGAAAAUUCUGAACUCCCAUUCUGCCUGAUUAAUUUCUAUAUUAAAUGUUGACAAUGAAUGGCAAUUACUUGAAGUGAAAUUAAUAUACGUACAACUACAUAUAAAUAUAUCUAUCUGUCACUGUAAUAUCUAAUCUCCACGUUUCUCUAAUUCCCAUAAAAGGGUACAUUUUUGAAAUUAUUUAAAUAAAUAUUUAAUUUGGAUGUAUGGAGACUGGUUGAAGCUAUCCCAUUCACAUAAAUAAUUUAUUUUAAAUUUUCAUACUAAAUAUAUAUAAAUAAAAUAUGAGUAUAUAUACCAUAUUAAAAAAAUAUGCCUUCAUAAACUUACUUAAUGAAACUUGGAUAUAUUAUUUUAAUCUUUCUCCAUAAGAUUAUAUUUUUAAAUUAAAUUGUGUGUAUGAGAAAGUUGAUUGUAUUGUUUGCUUUAAUUGUGUUAUUAUUAAUUCGUAAGUAAUAUUUAAUAGUUGAAAUAUUUAAAGUAUUAUUUAAUUAUUAAAAUGUCUGAAUUUUUAUUUUUAUUUAUAAAAAAAAGAUAAUUACGAGUACAACAAGAUAAGAAAAGAAAAUUGUGGAAUUAAGACUUGUAGCUGAUUUAUUGCAGAUGAUAAGGCAGUACUACACCAGGCAGUGAUACAUAUAUAUAUAUAUAUAUAUAUAUAUUAAUUAAAACUUAAGGAUGAACAAACAGCUCCCUCAAGUUCAUUGGGAAAACAACACUUGGAUCAGCACUGAAGAUCAAAUGAGCUACGGCUUCAUUAGUUUUUUCUGCAUUGUGUCUGCCAUCAAAGAACAUGUAUCCUCUCUGGUAUGAACAUAAAUUGGAGUGCACAUUUUUAAAUCCACACCCAAAUGCAUCAUGUGAUCCUGUUCCACAGCAUGCCAGAUUGGUUGUAAAGUACCCUGCACCAAAACCAUCCAAACUCAUAUCAUAUAUACAUAUAUGUACACUUUCUUCACAUAUAUAAUUUCCCCAUGAUGGGUAUUAUUAAUUACUCACUGUAAUUAUUGGGUCGGGCCAUUCUUCGGAGGCUUGAAUUGAAGUAAUCAUAAAUGAUGUAGUUGAAACCAUCUAAUGUUUCUGAUAAGUUCUCCAAUGUCUCCGACAGAAGCUGGUUGUGCUGAGCAGCAAGAUUUGAUGCCAAUGGAAGACAAAAGUUUCCCGUUUUGAAGUCUUGUUUCACAAUUGGCAGACACCCAAGCGGUGCCAAGUUCUGGAAUGCAAAUUUCCUUCCUCCCAAUCCGUAUAUCGCCUGCAAAUUCACAUUACCCAGUUCAUAUAAUCAUCUCCUGCCCCCUAUAUAUACACUUAUAUGCGUUAUCUACAUCUGGGUACGUAUGUAUAUGUACACACCAAGAGCUGAUCCUUCAAUUUGGCGAUAACUUGACUGACAAAAGCUUCUUGCUGCUGAGCAGUGGCAUUGAGGUUGGCGUUGGUGUAGUUCAAGUAAUCAUUGGCGCCUAUAUAAAACAUGUAAAUACCCUUUUGACGCUGUGCAUCAGUCCAUGUGCUCUUAAUCUGAGCAAAUGCUUUGACUUGAUCGCCCAGAGUCAACUGAAAUUAAACCCAAUAAAUUAAUUAAUUACCCAUUAAUCACAUAAAUUAAUUCUUAAAAUUACUUAAUUAAUUCAUACCGUUUGAGGGGGUGUACCCAGAAUAGUUGCAUCGGCAGUGGCAAAGGUAACUCCGCUGGAGAAAUUUGCAGACCUAUCAAGAACCGGCGGAGGGAAUGGAAUUCCCAAGAACUCAGCUGCAUGUACAUAUAUAAUUAAUUAGUGUAUAUACAUAUAUAGUAAUUGUUACUGAUAUGGGUAUUAGAGAAAUGUACCAAUGAAGUCAGGGACGAUACGGCCAUCAGACCAUCGGCCAUUAGGGAAGUCAAUGGACAAGCCAUAAGGCCAGAAAGUAGAAGGGACGUCUGUAGCGAGAAAAGGCUUGUUGCCAUUAUCAUACAGAGAGUCUCCAAAAAUAAAGAGUUGCUGAGCGUUACAGCUUAUUGGAAGAAGAAGAGGAAGAAGAAGAAGGCUUAACCCCAAAAACUGACCACUUGGCUUCUCCAUGGUCUACUCCUAGAUCUCUUUUAUCUCUCACUUUUUUGUUCACCGCUGCUCUAUAUUGCUCCCUAUAUAUAGUGCUUAAUCACUGUUGUAUGUGUCUAUAGGGGAAUCUUCUACAUUAUAUCUUAAUCCUAAAUGUAUUAUUAUAAUUUCCCAUUUAAAGCUUUUUCUUGCUGCAUGUUUCACGUUUUUUGAUACUGUAAAUGGUCCUGCAAUAUUAUAUAUAUGUAUACAUUAUAGUUAUCUACAGAAGGUCAGUUGGGUGAGAUCUGGAAGUGGCUCUGUAUAUUAUUCUUAAUUGAAGAACGAGAAGACGUAUAAAAACAAAAUAUUUUCCUAAUCCUAAUCAUUAAUGAACUGUUUAAAAGUUUGAAUUAGCAGUUGUUGAGUAUAUGGUAAAAAUGAUCGACCAUUAUUUUAACUCAUCGUUAUGUGAGCAUAUAAUAUAUAUACAUUGCAAGUUGUAUCUUUGAAUUUUACUUCAAAAAAGUUGCCUUCAAAAGUAUAUAUUAAUAUGCUACCUGUAUAUUUCUAUUAAUAGCAUAUUAUAAAUCUCAUUUUAUAAUGAUAGUUUGUAUUUAUUAUAUAAAUAAUUUUUUAUUAAUUUUCUUUUUGAAAAUAAAAAGAUUAAAUUAUAUUUUCAAUUUAUUAUGAUUAUCCAAAUAAAAAAAUUUAACCGUCAUAAAAUAUUUAUUUUAAAUCAAAACUAUAAUAAACUCACUAAAUUUAACAUAAUUUAAUUAUUAUGAUUUCUUAACAUUUUGUUUAGAAACGUAAAAUACUUAUUUAAAUUUAAUAUAAUUUAAUUAUUAUAUAGUCACUAAAUAUAUUAAUGAAAUAAAUUUUUAAUUUUAUUAAAAUUAAAUAUUAUAAAUUAGUUAUUGUUAAUUUAUAAUAUAUUUAUAAAAUAAUAAAUUUUAUAAUUUUAAUUAUAAUUAAAUUUAUAAUUUUUAAAUAAAAUAUUUAAUAGAUAAUUUUUUUUUUCAUUUGGUUCGAAAAUAAGCUUGUAAUGGCCCUUAAAUAGAGCCAUGUAGCUAAUUGGCCAGAGCCUCCAUUGAUGUAUUAGGUUCAAUGCCCAGUUACGUCAACAAGUAAUAAUAAUAAUAUUAUUAAUUAAUUAAUUAAUUAAAACUCGCUAAAAAAUAAAGUAAUUAAUUACAAUUAACUAAAGAAAACUUGAUUAAGAGAAAUAAGGAGGAGAGAUUAUUUUCUGUUUGUCAGCCGCAUGCUGGCUGCAGAUGCGACUGCCUUCAAGGCGUUGAUCUUGGAGAUUCUUGCUAAUCUCAAGUUGAUGAUCUAAUUGCCUAUAUUACCUGCCUGUGUUUUGGAUUAAUACACGUAAUUGGUAAAAAUUAUGAAAAGAACUAAUAGAGCUCUUAUUUUAAGUAAAUUUAUUUAUUAUAAGUAAAAUUAUUUAUUGUACACUUAUCAUAAUAAAAAUUUCAAAACUGACAUAUUGAGGUAAAUACACAAACAAUAUCAUAAUCUCUUAUACAAUUAACCAGAACAUCAACUUUUCUUAUUUAUCUGCAUACUGGUAUCCAUAGGAGUUCAUAGAAAUGUCUUUACUACACGUAAACCCUUAUUCAACAUUUUCAAUUAAGCGACCGUCCUAUACCCCAUCCGGUAUAAGCGCCAAAAAUACAAUCUCUUAUACCUCGACUGGUUGUGAGGGGGUGAAACGGGUCACCCCUCAUACCCCGUCCGGUAUGAACGCUAAAGUACCAAUCCUUCUUACCCCGUCCGGUAUGAGCGCUAAAGUACCAAUCCUCCUUACCUCGUCCGGUAUGAGGUAACGUUUAUGGUGGGGUUCUCUAUGUACCCGAUCCGUCGACCAUCUCCCAGGAUAUCCAGUAAGGCUACCAUUCAUUCACUCAGUUAAUCAACAAUUUCUCGUUUACAUUUAAUUUUCAGUUUCACAAUUUAACUAUAAAUCACGCAAAGCAAGCAAUACAUGCAUCAAGGAAACCCCACUAAAUCAUCUUACCAACUCCAACGUAUUAUCAUGCAUUAAAAACUGUAACAUCAAUCAAAUAGGAUAAACAGUGAAUAAUAACCGAUUUUGUCUUCAUUAGUAACAUGUUAUUAGUUAUCGAGAUUUUUUAAAUUGUACAAAAUACCAUAUUAUUUAUAAUUCAACUUCAAUUCCAUAACAAUGAAUAGGGUGAGAGAUUCUUAUCCGAAUCAGUGUCCGAAUGCUAAACUUUUAGCUGCACCUACUGGCAGUCCUCGAAUUCUCUAAAUUUUUUUUCGAAGAUUAAAACACACUCCAAGUACCUAAAAAUACAUUAAAAAAUUCAAAAUCAGUGUUAGAAACCCUUUUCGGCCAAGUUCGAAAUUCCGUCACGGCGACGGCGCCGUGCUCUGACAAUAGUGUCGCUGCCCACGGCGGCAAUUUGCCUUGGGUUGAUCAUUUUCGGUCGAUUUUGUGUUCAUUCCUGCGAGAAGACACGUUUAAGGGGCCUCGGUUGGUCAAAAAAGUAAAAAAACAGAAGCUUAUCAGCGGCGGAGUUUUUCGGUGCGGCGGCUCUGCUGGUUCACCUUCGCGGUUGGGCGUUUUUCUUCGGUUAACCUGUGAAAAAUAAAAUGGUGAAUACAAUGGUAGAAAAAUUACACGAAACGAGAAUCGAGAAUGACCUCAUUAGAGAUAAUUUUUGAUUUUUCUCGCGGCGGUGCCUUGGGCUUUAUCUGCGAUUUACGCCUCAUCCGUUGGUCAUUUUGCUCUGAUUUGACCAUGGGAGUGUUCAAAAUCGAAUUUCGAGCAAACAAUUUUUUUUUUACCUCUUUUAGCAAUUGGAGGUGGCUCCAGCAUGGCGACGGGCGGCGGUCGUCUCCUUUUCCAGCGUCUAGUUCUUCUUCUCUGGCAGGAGGUCUGGCGGCUAGGGUUAGGAUUUGGUGUGAAGUGAAGUAUUUAUAUCUGUAGCGCCCGGAGAAAAGGGGCCGAAAAAAAAAAAGCCACGUCGGCAGCCACGUCAGCAGGCCCGGUCAGCAAUCCCGGCCAACCGGGGCCUGCCACGUGGCAAGACCACGUCACUCCGGAACGGGCCACAUUGGCGAUCCGCGUGAGCGCGAUCGGACGGCCCAGAUCAAUCGCGCGAUCGGACGGCCCAGAUGCAAUCGCACGGACGACCCAGAUUCAAUCAAAAACGAACGGCCCAGAUUAAAACAAAAUGGACGGCUGAGAUCAAAAGGCAAGGGGUUAUAAAUAGAACCCCCACACCGGACCACAAACCCUAGCCGCCUGCCGUUCGCCGGAGAAGACAAACCAGAAACCGGUCGCCGCCACCCGCCGCCGCGCCGGGGAAAUUUCCGACCGCCGAUCGAGGUAAAUUUCAUACCCCCGACUCGUUUUUCCACGCUGAUUCCUCCUGUGGCCAAAUCGGAGCCAAAAUCCUGGCCAAACGGCCGGAAUACGCGGCCGAAGACCAGCGGCGCCGCCGCGCCCCUUCUCGGUUUUUGCCUCCGAUGAGGCCUUUCCCGGCCUCCGUUUGAUGCAAUUUUUAUAUCACCGUGAUCACAAUUCUUUUCUCUACAGGUUGACCGGAGCCGAAUCACCAAAACACGAACCUCGCCAGAGAGCCGCCGCACCCGAGAGUGCCGCCGCCGGUAAGCUCCGUUUUUCCGUGAUUUUUUGGCCCCCCGAGGGCCCUAGGGUUGUUUUCUCGCAGGGACCGAUGCAAGUGUGGCCGAAUUCAGCCAAAAAUGGCCGAAAACAGCCAACCCGAGGCGAAUCGCCGCCGUGUCGGAGUUGCGAUAUUGGCCAAAAAGGGGCCCUGGGCCUAAUUUGAGAUUUUUUGGAACACGUGCAGGUACCGUUAGUGCGUUUCAGUUCCCCGGAAAAAAUUCAGGGAAAAUUAGGAACAGCCUGUAGGCGCACUGUGAAUCGUAUUCGAAUCCCGAAAACAAGUAAGGACCCCUCACCCUAUUUCCUAUCACGGUAUUAAAGUUCAAAAUGAUAAAACGGUAUUUCUUGAAUUAACGAAUGUGUGAAAUUGCUUAAGGUGGCUAAUGGAGCCCGAGUCUAGUGUGAUUGGUGAUUUACUGUUAUUUGGCCUGUUUACAGCUUUAAAUGCAGCAUGAGGUUUGAUGUGUUCAUUUUACAGAUUUGUGUGCAUAUACUACGUUUUUAUUAAUUAUGGGUUGAAUGACCGGGAUACUGAUACUGUAUGUUGUCUGUUUGGCAUGAAUUACGAUUUGCUUGUUUAAAUGUGAAUUGAUGAUGCUGACUGAGGAAAAGGAAAAUAAAAGAUUGUGUAGACUGAUAAUUGUAUUAUGGGGUCAGCCUGACUAGAUAUCCUGGGAGAUGGUGGACGGACCGGGUCUGUAGGGAACCCUACCGGGAUUAUGGUCUCACAUGCCGGACGGGGCAUGGAGAUCUUAUGGUUUUGGCGCCCAUACCGGACGGGGUAUGGGGACGGCCCGUUUCACCCUCAUACCGGACGGGGUAUUGAGGUUUAUGGUUUUGGCGCCCAUACCGGACGGGGUAUGGGGACGGCCCGUUUCACGCUCAUACCGGACGGGGUAUUGAGGUUUAUGGUUUUGGCGCCCAUACCGGACGGGGUAUGGGGACGGCCCUGGAAACUGAUUAUGAAUGUUAAAGGUUAACGGGUAGCGGGACCCCUAUGGACCCCCACGGAUACUAGUAAGCUGGUAAAUGAGAAAAAGAUAUGUUGUAUAAUGAUUGAAUUACAAGAGGCGUGAUAAGUGUUAUGUUUUACAGCUUAUAUUAUUCUAUGAUUAUGAUAAUGUUAUUGUUUUUCUUAUAUUGUUUCAUAAAUUCCACCGAGGUAAGUGGAUGGUAAAGGUUUUAUCAUAAAUAAAAGAAUUUGUUGUAAAACAUGCUCCAUGGGUCCUUUGUGUUUUCUACCCACCUUUACCUCCGUGACGGUGAGAUAUCGUGAUGUUCUUAUUGGGCUAGUGUAGCUCACUCCUUAUUUAACCAUUUCAGAUCAGGAAGACAUGGUUCCCGAGCCCGUUCCGCAGGAGGACGACGAAAGGGAUGCCUAGAGACUCUGUAGUCAUAAUCAUAGCUUUAUUUUCGAGUUUCUCUUUUAGUUAGUUUAAUCUUUUAUAUUUUAAGUACGUUUUUGGUUUUCGUGUAAGGGAUGUUAACUGAAAUUUUGAUCUCGCUUCCGCAUUUGAUAUAAUUAAAUACUCAUUUCAUUUUAAUAUUUCCGGGGUCGUUACAGUUGGUAUCAGAGCCGCGUUUCCUCGGACCGAUCCCUUACACAAUAGUGCCUUAGAUAAAUACUCACCGAUAUAUCGUUACUCAAUCAUUCCUUGUGAAUGCAGGUACACGGGAAUGAGGAGAGGAAGGCCCCCACUAAACCGAGCGGCUCAGGAUAAUUCGCUUCGGGAGGAUCUUGACAGACUGUAUGAGAUGGUGGUGGCUCUCGUAGCUGCCCAGCGAAGGCAAGAGGAGAGAAGGGAGUUACCCGGACCUCCUCUGCUAGCGCAGGUUGAGCCCCCACUACAGCAGGCUGAUCCCGUACCACCCCGGCAGGAGCCUGUUCCUCCACAGUACCAACCGGCACCACAGCCGCGGUACGACCCGGUACCACAGCCACAGUACCAGCAGGCACCGCCACAGCACUUUCCAGUACCCCCACCGCAUCAGCAGAUUCCACCACAGGGUCCCCCAGUUCACCCUCAGCCGGUCCCAGUCCCUCUACCUCGGGACCCCGCUCCUUCCUUGAUCGAUCCCAGCUUCAUAGAGAGGUACAGAAGAUUGAACCCCUCUACUUUUGCAGGGGGAUCCUCUUUUGAAGAGGCCCAAUGUUGGCUGGCAGAGACUGAGAGAGCCUUCAAGACCUUGGGAGUAGUUCCUGAGCAGAGGGUUGCCAUUGCCUCCUACAUGCUGGUAGGGGAAGCGGUACGCUGGUGGGAGCUCAAGCGGGCCACCCUGCCUGUACCAGUUACUUGGGAGCAGUUCCUAGCGGCCUUCCAUGCGGAGUAUCUCCCUAAACACAUCCAACAUUUAAAGGAAAUAGAAUUUGCUCAAUUGGUCCAGGGUAAUAUGACAGUGUCGGACUAUGCUCGUAAGUUCUUGGAGCUGGGCCGACAUGCCCCGGAGACAUUGUUGGAUGAGGGCCGAAAGGCCAGGAAAUUCCAGUGGGGUCUCCGCCCGGAGAUCAGACGGCACUUACUCGUGAUGGAGCUCGAGACGUAUUCAGCAGUCUUGGCUAAGGCGCAGAUCAUAGAAAGGAGCUUUGACACCCGCCCUCAGCUAGCGGGAAGUUCCCGACUCUCAGCCCCGCUCCGCAGGCCAGCACCUAUCAUGCCUGUCCAACCCAGUAAGAGGCCCAGACCUGCCGUCCAGGCCCCUCCUCAGGCUACGGGGGCAGCACGUGGGAAGAUCUGCCAAUACUGCGGCAGGGAUCAUGGGGACCGACCCUGCUACCGCCUCAACGACACCUGUCGCAUAUGCGGCAGUGCCCAGCACUAUGCAAGGGAAUGCCCUAGGAACCAGAAUCAGAGAAGGCCUCCAAUCCAGGGCAGAGUUUACAACCUUACCCAGAAGGAUGCCGACGCAGACCCGGACGUGGUACAUGGUAUGUAUACUAUCUCUGGUCAUAUUGCUCAUGUUUUGUUUGAUACUGGUGCAUCACAUUCUUUUAUUUCACAUGUUCUUGCUUCCGAAAUUUGUGUAUCACUUGAUAGACUUGAUUCAUUAUUGCUUGUAUCUACCGCUGGGGGGGAGACAUUGCUAGGAAAGGUUGUCUACAGGGCAUGUGCCGUGGAGAUAGCAGAUAGGAAAUUGAGGGUAGACCUGAUAGGUUUAGACACGGGGGAUUUUGAUGUAAUCCUAGGAAUGGAUUGGCUAGCGGCGUAUCACGCCACCAUAGACUGCUUUAACAAAAAGAUUGUAUUUAAUCCUCCCAACGAGGAGCCAUUUACAAGUUAAUAAAAUUAUUCAGUACUGAUUUCCCAAAUGGCAAGUUUUUUUCUCGAUUUCCAGUGCCUUAAUCUUGUAUUUUCUCUAACUAGGUAAACCCAAGAAAGAAGUUUGUAUCCAAGAGAUUCCAGUAGUCCGAGACUUUCCAGACAUAUUUCCGGAUGAACUGCCCGGUCUACCAAGGGACAGGGAGGUCGAGUUCACCAUAGACUUACAGCCAGGUACCCAGCCCAUCUCAGUAGCUCCUUACCGAAUGAGUCGCAUCGAGAUGGAAGAACUAAGGAAACAGAUCACUGAGCUACAAGACAGUAGUUUCAUUAGACACAGUGUUUCCCCAUGGGGUGCCGGGGUUACUUUUGCAAGGAAGGGAGAUGGAACGUUGAGACUGUGCAUUGAUUACAAAAGGAUAAACAAGGUAACAAUCAAGAACAAAUAUCCUCUUCCUCGGAUUGAUGACCUUUUCGAUCAGUUGCAGGGUGCACAGAUCUUUUCUAAAAUAGAUCUACGAUCAGGUUACCAUCAGGUAAAGGUAAGAGCAGAAGAUAUCCCCAAGACAGCAUUCCGAACCAGGUACGGACACUACGAGUUCCUGGUUAUGCUGUUUGGACUAACCAACGCCCCGGUCAUCUUUAUGGAUCUAAUGAACAGAAUCUUCAGAGAGUUCUUGGAUAAAUUUGUCAUCGUGUUCAUCGAUGAUAUCUUAGUCUACUCAAAAAGUAGAGAAGAACAUGCUCAUCAUCUUGCCCAAGUCCUACAGGUACUCAGGGAAAAGAAGUUGUAUGCAAAGUUGAGCAAGUGUGGAUUUUGGCUCGAGCAAACCGCCUUCCUAGGACAUGUUAUAUCGAAGGAAGGGGUGUCGGUGAACCUCGAAAAGGUUGAAGCAGUACUUGGUUGGGAAAGGCUGACAACAGUUAAGGAAAUUCGCAGUUUCCUAGGGAUGGCAGGUUAUUACCGCCGGUUUGUCGAAGGGUUCUCUAGUCUAGCAGCUCCUCUAACCCGACUCACAAAGAAGAAUGCAAGGUUUGAAUGGAAUGAGAACUGCGAGAGGAGUUUUUCAGAGUUGAAGAAGCGACUGACUACUGCACCAGUGCUGGCUUUACCGAGUGGAUCAGGAGGGUACACAGUUUAUAGUGAUGCCUCCUAUCUGGGCUUGGGUUGUGUCCUAGUGCAGCAUGGAAAGGUUAUAGCAUAUGGGUCUAGACAGCUAAAGAAUCAUGAGAAGAACUAUCCUACCCAUGACUUGGAGCUUGCCGCCAUCAUACACGCCUUGAAAACCUGGCGCCAUUAUUUGUAUGGAGAGACCUUUCAGAUCUUCACUGAUCAUAAGAGUUUGAAGCAUAUCUUCACCCAGAAGGAUCUCAACAUGCGUCAGAGAAGGUGGAUGGAACUCCUCAAGGACUAUGAUUGUGACAUCCUAUACCAUCCAGGUAAGGGCAACGUGGUGGCCGAUGCCCUCAGCAGGAAAAGUGCAGGCACCCUGGCCCAUCUGAUGGUUUCAGAAUGUAGGUCUAUUGGGGCUACACAGUAGGUUCGCCUGCGAGACCUGAAGAGAGUCACAUGUUUGGGCCACCUAGCAGUCCAACCCGAGUUAAUCCAAAGAAUAAAGGAAGCCCAGUCAGUCGACCCCGCCCUAGUAACCCGCAAGAAGAGUGCAGAACAGGGAGUGAGCUCAGAAUUUCAGAUCUCCGCCGACGGAUUGAUUCGUUUCAGGGACAGAGUGUGUGUCCCAGAUGACAGUGAGUUAAGAAGAGACAUCAUGACAGAGUCCCAUAGCUCAAGGUUCGCCAUGCAUCUAGGAAGUACGAAAAUGUACCAAACUAUGCGACCCCGGUUUUAGUGGAAUGGGAUGAAGAGAGAUAUAGCCGACUUUGUGUCUAAGUGUUUGGUAUGUCAGCAGGUCAAAGCAGAACAUCAACGCCCGGGCGGGUUACUUCAGCCUUUACCGAUUCCAGAGUGGAAGUGGGAACAUAUCACCAUGGACUUCGUAUCGGGACUACCCAAGGCACGAUCGGGACAUGAUGCUAUAUGGGUAAUUGUUGAUCGACUCACUAAGUCUUCCCACUUUCUGGCCAUCAGAAUGACUGAUCCUUUAGACAAGUUGGCAAGAAUGUAUAUCCGGGAGGUAGUCAGAUUGCAUGGAGUUCCAGUAACAGUGGUAUCCGACAGGGAUCCCAGAUUCACUUCUCGAUUUUGGAAUAGUUUCCAGCAAGCUAUGGGAACAAAGCUGUCUCUUAGUACUGCUUUCCACCCCCAAACCGAUGGACAAUCAGAGAGGACAAUUCGUACGCUGGAGGAUAUGCUCCGAGCUUGUGUCCUUGACUCCGGGGGCCAUUGGGACGACCACCUACCCCUGAUAGAGUUUGCUUACAACAACAGUUACCAAGCAAGCAUCGGCAUGGCCCCAUACGAGGCGCUAUACGGGCGUCCGUGCAGGUCGCCGAUCUGUUGGGAAGAAGUGGGCGAUAGAAGAUUGUUUGGCCCGGAUUUGGUAGAGGAGACCACGUCCAAGAUAGUUAAGAUCAAGAAGAACAUCCAGACAGCUCAGAGUAGGCAGAAGAGUUAUGCCGAUACCCGGAGGAGAGACCUGGCCUUUGAGAAAGGUGACCGGGUGUUUCUUAAAGUCACCCCCUUCAAGGGAAUUAGUAGGUUCGGCAGGAGGGGAAAAUUAAACCCCAGAUAUAUUGGACCCUUUGAAAUCUUAGACAAGAUUGGUACCACUGCCUACAGACUUGCACUGCCCCCUGAGCUCUCCCGGGUUCAUAAUGUGUUUCAUGUAUCUAUGCUACGCAAGUACAAUCCGGACCAUUCUCAUGUCGUAGCUCAUGAACCGCUUUCACUCCGAGAGGACUUGUCUUAUGAAGAAGUACCGGUCAGUAUCACGGACCGAGAAAGCAGAAUACUCCGCAACCGGGAAAUAUUAUUUGUAAAAGUUAUGUGGCAGAACCACACGCCUAGGGAGGCGACUUGGGAAUUGGAAUCAGAAUUUAGGACACAAUACCCCCAUCUGUUUGAUCAAGAGUAAUGAGGCAAAUUUGGAGACCAAAUUUCUUUAAGGGGGGGAGAGUUGUAGCGCCCGGAGAAAAGGGGCCAAAAAAAAAAAAAAGCCACGUCGGCAGCCACGUCAGCAGGCCCGGUCAGCAAUCCCGGCCAAUCGGGGCCUGGCACGUGGCAAGACCACGUCACUCCGGAACGGGCCACGUUGGCGAUCCGCGUGAGCGCGAUCGGACGGCCCAGAUCAAUCGCGCGAUCGGACGGCCCAGAUGCAAUCGCACAGACGGCCCAGAUUCAAUCAAAAACGAACGGCCCAGAUUAAAACAAAAUAGACGGCUGAGAUCAAAAGGCAAGGGGUUAUAAAUAGAACCCCCACACCAGACCACAAACCCUAGCCGCCUGCCGCUCGCCGGAGAAGACAAACCAGAAACCGGCCGCCGCCACCCGCCGCCGCGCCGGGGAAAUUUCCGACCGCCGAUCGAGGUAAAUUUCAUACCCCCGACUCAUUUUUCUACGCUGAUUCCUCCUGUGGCCAAAUCGGAGCCAAAAUCCCGGCCAAACGGCCGGAAUACGCGGCCGAAGACCAGCGGCGCCGCUGCGCCCCUUCUCGGUUUUUGCCUCCGACGAGGCCUUUCCCGGCCUCCGUUUGAUGCAAUUUUUAUAUCACCGUGAUCACCAUACAGGUUGACCGGAGCCGAAUCACCAAAACACGAACCUCGCCGGAGAGCCGCCGCACCCGAGAGCGCCGCCGCCGGUAAGCUCCGUUUUUUCGUGAUUUUUUGGCCCCCCGAGGGCCCUAGGGUUGUUUUCUCGCAGGGACCGAUGCAAGUGUGGCCGAAUUCGGCCGAAAACGGCUGAAAACAGCCAACCCGAGGCGAAUUAAGGGAUGUUNNNNNNNNNNNNNNNNNNNNNNNNNNNNNNNNNNNNNNNNNNNNNNNNNNNNNNNNNNNNNNNNNNNNNNNNNNNNNNNNNNNNNNNNNNNNNNNNNNNNNNNNNNNNNNNNNNNNNNNNNNNNNNNNNNNNNNNNNUGGAUUGCUAGCGUGACCUCCCGCGUGGCACUGCAUCAAAGUGUCUUGCCACGCGGUGUGCUUCGGUUCGUCGGGGUUGCUGACUAGGCGUUCUACAUGGCAAAUUUUUUCUAAAUUGUGUUUUAACCUGUGGUUUCUGAUUUUUCUUUCAAAAUAUUCCCAAACCCAAAUUUUCACCAUUUUUUCUCAAAAUUAUUUUCAAUUUCUUCCUCCAUCUAUUUUUCUUUAUUUUUACAUUAAAUAAAAAUUUAAAAUUUUAAAAAUUAUAUUUAUAUAUUAAUUUUAAAUAUAUUAAAAUUAAUUUCGAAUAUUAUAUAGUAAAUAUAGAUUAACUAUAAUAUAAUACUUUAAUUUGCACAGGAGUAAUAUAUAGUAGGAAGUUAAAAUUAUAAUUUUUUUAUAGAGAAAUUGGGAAUAAUUGAUGGAUUAAUGCAUUGGAAUUAAAUCAAAAUCUGCUUUUAACAAUUUCAAAUAUAAAAUUACAUUGUGUAUUUUUUAAAAAAUAACUUUUAAUUUUAUUUAAAAAUUUAUAUUUGAAAAUUUAAAAAUUAUUUUUAAUAAAUAUAAAAUUUAUGUUUUUUUUUUAAAUGACAAUACUUUUAACAAUUAUUUUUAUUAAUACUAAAUAAUUUUUUUAUUAAAAAGGCUUUUUUAAAUAAUUAUUAGUUGUAACGGUUCGAAAUUUGAAAGAAAAUAAAUUAUAAAUUAAGUGCAGAAACGAAAUAAUAGCAUUAUGGUUUACAUUUAUUGCACAAUAAUUCAGGAUACCCAAUAGGAUUACAGAAAUGACCAUUCUAAAAAUACAACUAAUAAUCAAAGAAAUAAAUAAAAAGUAAACAAACUGAACGUCCUACUCACAACCCUCUUGUAGAUCGGGCUCUAAAUCUUGGUUCUCUUGAUCUGAAAUGAUUAAUGAAAGAGUGAGCUACACUAGGCCAGUAAGAAUAUCAGACUACUCAUCGAUACAGAAAUGAAGAUUGGUAGAAAUCAUAAAAAUAACUAAUGGAGCUCUCAAUUAAAGUAAAUUCAUUUUUCAUGAAUAAAACCAUUUACCGCAUACUUACCGUAGCGAGAUUUGCAAAAUCGACCUAUAGAGGCAAUAACAUAAAUAAUACUAUAAUCUCAUAUUCAAUCAGUCGAAACAAUAACUUUCUCAUUUAUUAACCUAUUGGUAUCCAUUGAGGUUUAUAAGGAUGUUUCCACAAUACGUGAACUUUUAUUCCACAUUUUCAACUAACGAACCAUCCUUAUACCCCGUCCGGUAUGAACGCCAAAAUAUACCAUCCCUUAAUACCCCGUCCGAUGUGAGUGUGAAACGAGUCGUUUCCAUAUCCCGUUCGGUAUGAGCACCAAAAUACAAAUCCUUGAUACCCCGUCCGGUAUGAGGGAAUGUUCACAGUAGGGUUUCCUAUGUACCCAGUCCGUCCACCAUUUUCCAAGAUAUCUAGUAAGGCUACAAUUCAUCAAUUCACUUAAUUAAAUAAUUUUUCGUUUACCUUUAGUUUUCAGUUUUCCAAUUAACUGUAAAUCACGUAAAACAAACAAUAUAUGCAUCAAGGAAACACAAUCGAAUUAUCAUACCAAUUCCAGAGUAUUAUCAUGCAUUCGAAACUGUAAAAUCAAUCAAUUAGUUAAACAUGGCAAACAGAAAUAAAUAACCAGUUCUACCUCCAUUUGUAACCUUUAAUGAUCAAUAUUUUUAAAUUAAACAAAAUACCAUAUUAUUUAUAAUUAAACUUUAAUUCCAUAAUAGAGAAUAAGGUGAUGGAUUCUUACUUGGAUCGGUGUCAAAAAUGCUAAACUUGCAGCUGUGCCUACUGGCGAUCUCCGGGUUCCCUGAAUUUUCUUUCGGGGAUUAAAACACACUCCAAGUAUCUAUAAAUACCCCAAAAAUCUAAAAUCGGUAUUAGAAACCCUUUUCGACCAAUUUCAGGAUUUUGGCAUGGCAGCGCUGCCAUGCUCCAGCGACGGCACCACUACCCGCAAUGGCGGUUUGCCUCGAGUUGGUCGUUUUCAGCCAGUUUCAGCCGAUUUUGGCCGGUUUUGUACUGUUCUCUGUGAGAAAAUACGUUAAGAGGCAUCGAUUGGUCAAAAAAAUUGAAAAACAUAAGCUUACCGGUGGUGGGAUUUUCAGUGCAGUGGAUCUGCCGGCUCACCUUCACGGUUGGGUGUUUUGCUUCAAUUAACCUGUAGAAAAAUGAAUAUGAUUACAAUAGUGAAAAAAUUGCACAGAAGGAGAAUCAAGAAGGGCCUCAUCCGAGGUAAUUUUUACUUUUUUCUUGCAACGACGUCGUCGGGCUUUACUUGCAGUUUUCGGUUCAUCUAUCGGUCUUUUUGCUCCGAUUUGGCUAUGGGGGUGUUCGAAAUCGAAUUUUGAGCAAAUAAAUUUUUUUUUACCUCUUUUGAUGGUCAGAAGUGGCUCCGCCGCGGCGGUUAGGGUUUGGUGCGAGGUGCGGUAUUUAUAUCCGUCUCCUUUUAAUCUGGAUCGUCCAUCGCGUUUGAUCUAAACUGUCUGAUCGCGUUUAAAUACAAAGUGAAUAUGCACCGUUCAUCGCGAUUUGAUCUAGACCGUCCGAUCGCAUUUAAAUAAAAAAUAGAUCUGAACCGUUCAUCGUGAUUUGAUCUAAACCAUACAAUCGCGUUUAAAGGAAGAACGGAUCCAGACCGUCCACACGCACAGGAACAAAUCCGAACCAUCCGAUUGCGGUCAUGCAGAUUACUAGCGUGGCCUUCCGCGUGGCACCGCGUCGGCGUACCUUGCCACGCGGCGUGCUCCGGUUCAUCGGGGCUACUGACUAGGCGUCCAACGUAGCACAUUUUUCUAAAAUUAUAUUUUUACCCCAAUUUUUCGAUUUUUCUUUCAAAAACACAUUCGACCCCAAAUUUUCACCAUUUUUUUCUAAAAUUAUUUUCAAUUUCAUCCUCCACCUAUUUUACCUCAUUUUUACAUUAAAUAAAAGUUCAAAAAUUUAAAAAAUUAUAUUUAUACAUUAACUUUAAUUAUAUUAAAAUUAAUUAAGGGUAUUACAAUUCUUCCUCCAAUUAAAAGAAAUUUGGUUCCUCAAAUUUGUCUCCCUCUCACUCAAUCAAACAUUUGGGAAUGUUGGGCUCUGAAAUCUUAUUCUAGCACCCAUGUGGCCUCUCCCUGUAUGUGAUUCUGCCAUAGGACCUUAAUAAAGGAAAUUUUUUAGUUGCAUAGUACUCUGCUCUUUCAGUCCACAAUACCGACCGAUACCUCCUCGUAGGACAGAUCCUCCUGGAGUGAAAGAUGUUCGUGGGUCAAGACGUGAGAGGGGUUCGGGUUGUACUUGCAUAGCAUGGAAACAUGAAAUACGUUAUGGACCCUGAAAAGUUCUGGAGGAAGUACCAGUCUAUAGGCGGUGGUACCAAUUCUGUCUAAAUUUCAAAUGACUUAAUAAAUAAGAAAUUUAGUUUCCCCAUCUUGUCAAACCUACUGAUUCUCUUGAACGGAGUGACCUUAAGGAAUACCCGAUCACCUUUCUCAAAUUCCAAAUUCCUCAUCUGGGUAUCUGCAUAACUCUUCUGCAUGCUCUGAGCCUUCUGGAUGUUCUUCCUGAUCUUAACUUUUUUUGGUGUAGUCUCAUCUAUAAGAUCUGGACUAAAUAAUUUUCUAUCACCUGCCUCUUCCCAACAAAUCGAUGAUCUGCAUGGGCGGCCAUACAACGCCUCGUACGGAGCUAUGACAAUACUUACUUGGUAAUUGUUAUUGUAGGCGAACUCUAUCAGGGGUAAAUGAUCAUCCCAAUGACCUCCGAAUUCAAUAACUCUAGUGUGCAUAUCGUUCUUUCUAAUUGUCCAUCGGUUUGAGGGUGAAAUGCAGUACUAAGGAACAAUUUCAUUCCCAUGCCCUGCAGAAAACUAGACCAUAACCGAGAAGUGAACCUAGGGUCUCUGUCGGACACUAGUGUCACUGACACUCCAUGUAACAUGACUAUCUCUCGGAUAUACAUUCUUUCUAGCUUGUACAAGGGGUCGGUAAUCUUGAUGGUUAAGAAGUGGGAAGACCUUAUGAGUUGGUCAACAAUUACCCAAAUGGCAUCAUGUCCUAAGCGUGUCCUAGGCAAUCCUAUCAUAAAAUUCAUCAUGAUAUGUUCCCACUUCCACUCCGCGAUUUGUAGUGGUCGAAGUAGUCCGCUUGGACCUUGAUGCUCUGUCUUAACUUGCAGACAUACCAAACACUUGCAAACAAAGUCGGCCACAUCUCUUUUCAUCCCGUUCCACCAAAAUCAAAGUCGCAUACUUUGAUACAUCUUAGUGCUUCUGGGAUGCAUGAUAAACUUUGAGUUAUGGGCCUUUGUCAUGAUGUCCCUUUUCAGCGCACUGUCACAUGGAACACAUACUCUGUCCUGAAAUCUAAGUAACCCAUCAGUAGAAACUUGAAAUUUUGAAUUAACUUCCUGUUCUACAUCUUUCUUGAGGGCUACUAGGGUGGAAUCGGCAGAUUGGGCUUCCUUUUUUCUCUGGAUCAACUUAGGUUGAACCGUUAGGUAGGCCGAAUAUGUGACUCUCUUCAGGUCCUGAAGUUGUACGUACUGUGUGGCCCUUGUUGUCCUACAUUCUGAAACCAUCAAGUGAGCUAAUAUACAUACACUUUUUCUGUUGAGUGCGUCGGCUACCAUGUUACUUUUAUCCGAGUGAUACAAGAUAAUGCAAUCAUAAUCCUUAAAAAGUUCUAUCAAUCUUCUUUGACAUAUGUUGAGAUCCUUUUGAGUGAAUUUGUGUUUCAAGCUUUUAUGGUCGAUAUAGAUAUGAAAGGUCUCCCCAUACAAGUAAUGACGCCGAGUCUUCAAGGCGUGCAUAAUCGCGACAAGUUCUAAGUCAUAGGUGGAGUAGUUUUCUCAUGACUCUUCAACUGUCUCAAUCCAUAGGCUAUAACUUUCUCAUGCUGCAUUAAAACACAACCCAACUCUAAGUAAGAGGUAUCACUAUAAACUGUACAUCCAUCCGACCCGCUCUACAAGGCCAACACAGGUCCAGUAGUCAGCUAUUUCUUUAGUUCUAAAAAAUUUCUUUCACAUUUCUCGUUCCACUAAAAUUUGACAUUCCUUGCACAAUAAUUCAAGAUACCCAAUAGAGCUAUAAGAAUGACCAUUCUAAAAGAACAAUUAAUAAUCAAAGAAAUAAAUAAAAAGUAAACAAAUUGAACGUCCUAUUUGCAACCCUAUUGUGAAUCGGGCUCUGGAUCUUGGUUCUCUUGAUUUGAAAUGGUUAAUGAAAGAGUGAACUACAUAGUCUACUAAAAAUAUCACGUUACUUACCGAUACAGAAAUGAAGGUUAGUAAAAAUUAUAAAAACAACUAAUAGAGCUUUUAAUUUAAGUAAAUUCGUUUUUCAUAAAUAAAAUCAUUUGAAAAACCGACCUACAGAGUCAAUAACAUAAACAAUACUAUAAUCUCAUAUUCAAUCAAUCGAAACAACAACUUUUUUCUUUAUCAGUCUAUUGGUAUUUAUGGGGGUUUGUAGGGAUGUCCCUACAACGCAUGAAUCUUUAUUCAACCUUUUCAAGUUUCGAGCUGUUACAUUAAUAUUAUUUUUAUAAUUUAUAGUAUAAAUUUUAGUAGGGUUAAAUGCCUACAAACAUACAAUAUGGAGGAAGCAAAUGAUGAGAUUUAUUUAUAAAGUAUAUAUAUAUAGGUAUUUAAAAAGUAAAACAUACACAAUAAUCUUAAUAUAACUUGUAAAACAUAGUGAGAGUACAUAAUCUGAUUUGAAUUUAUAAUUUUUUAUAGGGAAAGAGAUGUACGAAUUAUCGAACUAAAAACUUGUUCCAUCGUUAAGUGAAUGAUAGCAUGCAAAUUACUUGGUUAAUAUUAUAAAUUUAUAAGGUAGAAAAGUGUUUUUAGGUUAUAAGGUUGGAUGAUACUUGGAGUUCCAUUCCACAUCAACUCAGCAAGUUGCUGGUAAGCUUUCUGUGUUGGGUGGUACGAGUCAUAAAAUACUCUCUCAUUAGGAUUUUCACAGACAACAUACUUUUCACCUUUUCCACAAGUGUAAUUCCCUCUAAAUGGACCGCUCCCACAACAUGCUGUCUUCCCAUCUUUGAAACCUAUCCAACAAAUUCACAUUAAUUUAGUGAUAUUUAUAGUGCUUGUAACUUGUACUGUAAUUUCUAUAAGUAUUGUCAAAGUAGAUUUUCAAUAAAAAUAAUAUUAGUAAAGAUUAUGUAGUAUUUGGUAGAAAUAAUUAUAAAAAAAAAAUGUUGUUGUUUACAACAAAAAAAAAAAAAAGAAUUUUGAAAGUUUAAAUGUAAAUUAUAAAUAAAAACCAAAAUCAUUUUAUAAAAAGUAAGUAUUCUAUGUUUUAUCUUUGAAUUUAUCAAAACUAAAUUCUAACUUGUCAAAAGUAUUUUGUUAUGUUUUAUUAUAAAAAUUAGUUCUGAAACAUAAAAAUUAAAAUCAAAAGCAGAGCCAAACAUCUUCUAUAUGUAUAUAUAUAUAUACACACACAUAUAACUACCAUAUUUCAAAGGGUGACUGAUUCUUUCGCGGAGAGAGACAUAUAGAUCAAAGAUUCCAUAUUUCAAUCCUUGUAGUUGGCAACUUAAGUUGAUGAGGACUGUAGAGAUAAUCUGAUUAUGCAAUUUCACAAGUUGUGUGACUCGUUUGUCGCAAGAAAAUUCUCUGCUGUUUUGUUCAUGAUUCUUCACUACAACGCCCGGUGAACAACCCAAAGGUCCCAUUCCCACCAACCCAAAUUUCCUCCCUCCAAUCUUAUAUAUUUCCUGCCAAAAUACCCAUUACAAAUAAUCAACUAAUGCAGAGAAAGAAAAAAACACACACAUAUAUAUACACAUAUACAUACAUGUAAAGAAAAUAAAUAUAUAUAUAUAUAUAUAUACUUUUAUCACAUCAAUUUGGCUGCCAAUAACCUCCUCUACAAAUUCCUUUUUAGUGUAGGACUGAAACACACUUCUGUUUACAGUCAAUGCAUAUAUGUAAUCAUUGGCUCCAAUAUUGAAGAGAUAAACCGCCCUGGAAAACACUUUCUUAGUUUCCUUAUCUCCUAGCUUCUCUUUCAGGACUUUCUCUACGUUCUUGAACUGGCUUAGUUGAGUCUUCAGAUCUAUUGCCUGGGACAGAAAGAGAUAAGGUUUUUGUCUUUUUCAAAAAUUGGUUAAACCCAGAAAAAAAUAAAGAAAAUCAAGUAAAGUACUGAAGAAAUUAGUGUAGACGAUGUAUAUGUAUAAAGCCUAAAUAGGUUUGAGGCAGAAUACCACCAUCCAGCGGAAACAAAGAUUAAAGUUUUUUCCUUUUUCAAAAAUUGGAUAAACCCAGGAAAAAAAUGAAGAAAACCCAGUAAAGUACUGAAGAAAUUAGUGUAGACGAUGUAUGUAUAUAAAGCCUGAAUAUGUUUGAGGCAGAAUACCACCUCCACCAGAAACAAAGAUAUAAAGUUUUUUCCGUCUCCAAAAAUUGGUUAAACCCAUAAAAAAAAAAGAAAGAAAACCUAGUAAUAUACUGAAGGAAUUAGUGUAGAAGAUGUAUAUGUACAUAGCCUGAAUAUGUUUGAGGCAGAACACCACCUCCACCAGAAGCGAAGUUAACCCCAUAAUUUUAGAUUAGUUCUAAGUAAUACUUUAUAGGAAAUGGAUAAAAGAAAAAUGAGAGAUUAAUAGAAAGAGUUAAUUUUUCAGUUGUAAUUGUUGUAAAGAAAUCUUCAAAUACAUGAAUAUAUAUAGACACUAACAAAAUUCUUAAAAUUCUAAUUAUAAAAAUCAUAAUCAAUUUUAACUCACGAGUUAUAAUAUAAAAAUUUGUAAAUUAUUUUUUUAAACUUCUGAUAAGAUAAAAAAUCUCUUUUAUUUACAAAUAUUAUUUUUAAUAUCUUAAUAAGAUAAAGAAUUUCCUUAAUUUAUAAAUUAUUAUUUUUAACAUUUUUUUCUAUAAUCUAAAACUAGAACUUCUUAACAAUUUUUUUAUAAACGUGAGACAAUCCGAUCUCAUCACUAGCAUUGUUAGAAUAAAAAAAAUAAUUUUUAAAUUAAUAAAUAUGUAAAUCUUCGCACUGAAUCAAUGAGAAAAGAUAAAAAGAAGCGUACAUGGAUCCAUUGCGGAAGAUUUGGUUGCGUUCUGCAGUAGGUACUUCCGAAUCAAUACGAUGCUUCAAAAGAUAAAUUUUUUGGUGACAGAAUUUCAAAAAAAAAUAAAAUGGUGAUAUUGUGAUUCGGAGACCAUAACCGCCUUUUAUAUCGACAAACUUUUACAAUUUCUAUUUCACCCAUCAUAAAACGAGAAUAUUACAAAAAUGGUAUCUGCACAUUACAAACCCAUAUUUCAACCUGAUCUAUUAAGUCCAAAUAUUGUUAAGUAUAUUUGAUUACUUUUAGACAAGCUCAUUAAAUUAAUAGUUUAAUACACAUACUAAAUUCCACAUUAAGCCCGCAUGCUAGAAAAAAUCCAACAAUUUUUCACUUGAGCUUUAUGUGACACCUUAAUUAUGCAUUAAAUAACCGUAGAAGUGCUCAGAAUUGUGCUAUCAAUACUUGAAUGCAUCACCAAAUAAUCUCGUCCAUCGAUCAUAAUGACAUAAGAUCAAAGCAGUCUUCACUACAUCUAACGUAGCUAAACUCAUCAAUGGUUACGUAUAUCAUUAUAACCGAACGAUAUGGAUCAAACAUGGAUGUACAACAUGGAAAUUACAUGCUAUGUGAUCUAAUCAUGUAUAUUUUUAAUAGGUCUUGCCUUAAUUUUAGUGAGAUCAAAUGUAAGAAAACUCAGAGAUAAUAUAUAUAAACAAAAACACAAAACUGGAAUUAAACUAUGCAUACAUAAACCAAAACUAAAACCAAAAUAUAAAAUUUAUGACAUGUCUUAUAAAAUAAAUGAAACUAUGGUACAAGACUCCCACUAAACCUAUACAUUAUCUAAGGAUACAACAUCCAUAUGAGCAGUGUGCUCAUGAAUUAUCUUUGGUGGUAAUCUCUUAGUGAGCAGAUCAGCAAUCAUGAAGUUUUUUUUUUCAAUAUACUCUAUUAAUAUUUGCUUACUCUGAACUCUUUCUUUAACAACAAGAAACUUGAUAUAUAUAUAUAUUUUGACUUCGUCAAGCUCUUAUUGUUGUUGAAAUACGUAACUGCUGAUUUAUUGUUAAAAAAUAACUUUAAUGGUCUUUCUAUGCCAUCAAUAAUACACAGCCAAGUGAAAAAUUUUCGCAGCCAUAUUCCAUGAUUGGAUACCUCAUAACAAGCUACAAACUUUGCAGCCACAGUAGAAGAGGCUACAAGUAUUUGCCUAGCACUCUUCUAGAAAACAGCUCCCCCAGCAAACAAGAAGAUAUAGUUUGAUGUAGAUUUUAUGCUAUUUUGACAUCCGAUGAAAUCAGAAUCAGAAUAACCAAUGAUUUCCAACUAACAUGAUACCUUAUAUGUGAGCAUAUAACAUUUUGUUUUUUAUAGAUACCACAUGACACGUUUGACUAUUUUUUAACGAUCCAUACAUAAAUUGCUUAAAUAUCUACCUAACAUCCUAAUAAUGUAUGCAAUAUCCAAACGUGUACAAACCUGUGCGUACAUAAAACUCCAUACAACUGAAGCAUAAGGAAUCUUUGCAUCUCUAUAGUCUCUAGUUUAUUCUUGGAGCAUUGAAUUAGAGUAAACUUAUCUCCUUUAGAUACAAGAGAAUCACCUAGUUUACAAUCCUGCAUGCUAAACCUUUUAAGAAUAUUUUUAAAAUAACUUUUUUGUGAUAAUCUAAGAAUACCUCGAGAGCAAUCUCGGUGUAUCUGGAUCCCUAAUAUAAAAGAGAUGUCCCCAAAAUCUUUCAUCUCAAAUUUAUUUGAUAGAAAUCUCUUGGUUUCAUACAAUAAGUCUAUAUUACUACUAGUAAGCAGUAUGUUAUUAAAAUAUAAAACUAAAAAAAUAUACUUACUCUUACUGAACUUAUGGUAUACACAAUCUUUCAUUAAAUUUAUCUCAAAACCAAACGAGAUGAUGACUUGAUGAAAUUUGUGAUACCAUUGAUGAAAAGUCUGUUUAAGUCUAUAGAUGGAUUUUUUUAAUUUGCGAACUAUUUAAUGGGCAUCUCCAAAUACAAAAUUUUUUAGUUGCACCAUGUACAUCAUCUCAUCAAUGUCACCAUUGAGAAAUGCUGUUUUAACACCCAUCUGAUGUAACUCAAGAUAAAAAUAUGUCAUUAAANNNNNNNNNNNNNNNNNNNNNNNNNNNNNNNNNNNNNNNNNNNNNNNNNNNNNNNNNNNNNNNNNNNNNNNNNNNNNNNNNNNNNNNNNNNNNNNNNNNNNNNNNNNNNNNNNNNNNNNNNNNNNNNNNNNNNNNNNNNNNNNNNNNNNNNNNNNNNNNNNNNNNNNNNNNNNNNNNNNNNNNNNNNNNNNNNNNNNNNNNNNNNNNNNNNNNNNNNNGACCCAUUCCUCUUUAAAGACAAGGUCUCAAAUUCUUUCUCUCCUUGUAAACUCAACAUUAUCAAAGAACUAGACAUUUUUCGUUUCAAAAAUUAUCUUAACAGUGGGAUCAUAAAACUUAUAACCCUUGAAUUGUUCAAAAUAACCAAUAAGAUAGCAACUAACAAUUUUGGAGUCUAAUUUCUUUUCCUGUGGCCUAUAAGGCCUAGCCUCAGCUGGAUAUCCUCAAAUAUCCAAAUGUCUUAAACUAGGCUUCUUGCCCAUCCAAAGCUCAUAAAGGAUCUUUGUAGUUGCUUUAGUUGGAACUCUAUUAAGUAAAUGUUAUGGUCUUUAAUGCUUCUCCCCAGAGUGAUUCAAGUAAGGAAGAAUGACUAAUCGUACUCCUCAUCAUAUCCUUAAGUGCUUUGUUUUGCCUUUCAGCAACACCAUUCAUGCUAAAAGAACUUGACAUCGUGUACUGUGGGACGAUACUGCAUUCCCUUAGGAAUCGAGCAAACAACCUUGGACGCCGUUCACCUAAUCCAUAAGAUCUACCAUAGUAUUUACCACCACUGUUAUAUCUAACAACCUUAAUCAUUUUAUUGAGUUGGUUCUCAACUUUUGCUUUAAAACUCUUGAACACAUCCAAGAACUAGAACUUCUCAUGAAUGAGAUGUAGGUAGUCAUAUCUUGAAUAAUCAUAUAGGAAUGUUAUGAAAUUUUAUUUACCAUUCCAAGAAGUCGUAAGGAACGAUCCGUAAAUAUUUGUAUGAAUGAGUUCUAAUAUGUCCAUAGCCUUGUUGACACUUAAUCUCUUAAGGUUUGUUUGUUUUUUCUCAAUACAUUGGACACAUAUGUCAAAAUCUGUAAAAUCAAGGGGAUCUAGAAUUUCAUAUGACACAAAUCUCUCAAUUCUCCUUUGGGAGAUGUGACCUAAUUUCUUGUACCAUAAUGAAGCAGAAUUCUCCUUCAUUAAUUUUUUCUUCACACCUCUUGUACUAGCAUGGAAGGAUUUAUUAUAAGAAGCAAUUGUAUCAAGCAAAUAAAGAUUUUCAUAUGCUAAUAAAAAGCUAAAACCAACUAGAUUUAAAUUAAGAAAAAGACUAAAUUUUUCAUUUUCAAAUGAACAUGAAUAACCAAAAUUUUUCAAUACAGAAAUAGAAAUCAUAUUUCGUCUAAAUGACAGUACAAUAAAAGUCUUUUCUAAAUCCAAAUAAAAUACAGUCCUUAACAACAAUCUAAACUUGCCAAUUACUCCCACCUUGAAAGUUUAUCAUCGUCCACAUAAAUGAAUCUGACACCAUCACUUGGCUUACAGCAAUGGAGGCAACCUUGCAUAGACCCACUAAUGUGAGUUGUGGCACCAGAAUCUAUUCACUAGGUGUGUGUAGGUACAAAAGUUAAAUUAACCUAAAAAAACAAAAUUAAGAAGUAUAUCUUUCUUUGUGCGUCAUGAAUGAUAGUUAGUGCAUUGCUUCUUCUAGUGUUCCGGAGCUUUACAGAAGAAACAAACAUUUUCGGUCUAGACCUUUAUCGCUUCUUCGGUUGUACUGAAAUCGUAACAGAUUUACCUGUUUUCUUUUUCUUAUUUUUCUUAUCCUUUGAGAUCACUGCGAAAUGAGCACUCUCUGUCCUCUUAGACUUGAGUCUUUCUUCCUCUUGAAUAUAAUAUUAAAUGAGCUCAUUCAUAUUCCAAGAUUCUUUUUGACAGUUAUAUGUCACCUUAAAAUGAUUGAACUAUGGUAGAAAAGAAAUGAAAACAAAGUACACAAGUACUUUUUCUGAUAAUUUCACUUUAAGUAUCUUGAGCUUUGCAUGCACAUGUGACAUCUCCAUUAUGUGCUCUCUGAUGUUUCCAUUUCUUUUAUAUCUCAUGAAACAAGAGUUGACAGAAGUGUAUAUACCUCGAUCUUAUCACUUAUGGCAAAACGUUAUUCUAGCGAAUGAAGGAAAUCUCUAGCUGUUGUAAUCUCAUCAGACAUAGUGCCCUGAAAAAUCUUUGGAAUGGCCUGUUUCAUAACCAACAUACUCAUACGGUUUAAUUGAUCACAUCUUUCAAACUUAUUCUUUUCUUCUGGGUUAUUGUUAGGAGUAAUCGGAUCGGGUUGAUUACUCCGUAAAACUCAAUCCAAAUUCAUAACUCCAAGCACAAGUCUAACAUUAUUCUUUCAUUGCUUGAAGUUAAUUUCGUUCAACAUUGGGAUGGAAUUAACAUUUGCGGUGAUACUUCCAAUAGAGAAGGAAGAUGAACAGAGAACAUAUAAAAAAUAAAUUACUUAAUACUCACAUAAAACUAUAAAUAAUAAAAUUUAAUAAUGAAUUUUAAAUGAAGGUAUAUUCACAUAUCAAUAUACCGAACACUCCAUUAACACUCUAUCUUUGGAUAGAAUAUUAACUUUUAAGUGGUACUCUGUAACAGUAAUUAAAUAUAGACAGUAGAAAUACAUCAAACAAUAAAUCUUUAUUUAGGCCGAUUUAAAGUUUAUAUGUUAUAUUAAAUAACUGUCACGUAUUUAUUGUCACAAAAAUGAAAUAUAAUAAUAUUAAAUAGUAAUAUUCAUUUGGAUCGAUUAACAUUCACAUAAGUUACACAUAUACAAUUGUUUAUGUUAUGAAAUAAAUAAAUUAUCCACAAGAAAUGUCACUUUGGUGACAUAUUGUGUAAAUUAAUUUAUUUUAAUAUGUAUAUGGACAUAUUAAUAUUAAAAUUUAAAAUUAAAACUAAAUUAGGAAGAAAGAAAAUCAACUACAAAAUGACCAAAAAUACCUUUAAAAAAUUUUAUUUUAUUUAGUCAAAAAGUUAAUUGUUGACUGGUCAAAGUCCAUGUUGACUAGUUAACCGUUGAUCGUUGACCGAGUCGGACCAACACCUAGUGGGGUCCUAGACCAGGUUGGUUCCGAGCCAAUUUAGCCCAGACCAAACCUAUUUGGGCUUUGACCCAGCCGAAUUGGCCUCUUUUUUUUUUUUUUUUUUUCUAUUUCCCUCUUUUCUUCAUUUUCUUUCCUUCUUGUGGACCAAUGCCACAUAACUUAAUUUAAAAACUUAAAAGAAAAGCCAAUAAGCCCCAAUUUUUUUUCUCUUCCUUCUUACUCCCACUUGUAACUGUUUCUAAAGUGCUAUAGUAAUGGCUGGAAAAACCAACCAUUACGCACGAGAUUCAGCAACCGUUUCGGUCGCGGAACAGUUGUGUAACCGACGGGCUUUCUUCUUCAUGCAACGGUGGCCGGCCCUACUUUUCUUUUUUAUUUUCUGCUUCAUAUAUUUACAUAUAUAUACAUCCUAAACUCAUAUAUAUACAUAUAUAUUUUCUACUUUAUUUUUUUUGAAUAUUUUUGAUUUAAAAAUACAUAUAUAUAUUUUCUGGAUCCUAAAUAUAUUUAUAUAUAUUUCUAAUCCUUAUAUAUAUAUACAUAUACAUAUAUAUACACAUAUAUAUUUUUCAAAAUUUAAAAUCACAAAAAAAUCAUAGAAUAAAUAAAAAAUCCAAAAUUCAAAAUUAUGAAUCCAAAAUCAAAAAUCAAAUACAAAAAAUAUUCUUAUACUAAUUGUUAAAAUAAAAAAAUAUUUUUCAAAUCAAUAGAUUUGUAAAUUCUCGUACUGAAUCAAUGAGAAAACAUAAACGUAAGCUUACCUGGAUCUAUUGCAAAAGAUUCGAUUGUGUUCUACGAUAGGUACUUCCGAAUCAACAUAAUGUCUCAAAAGAUAAUUUUUCUGGUGAUAGGAUUUCAGAAAAAUUAAAUGACGAUUUUAUGAUUCGGGAACCAUAACCACCUUUUAUGUCGACAAACCUUUCUAAUUCUCGUUUAUGCUACUCAUCACUAAUCUUCAUACAAGGACCCAUAAGAACAGAUGAGAUUUUUCCAUUUUUAAGCACUUUGUUUCUUAUCUCUUUGAAUGAAUUAAUUAUAAGGAGAAACAGACAGAGAAGGAGAAUGGGGAACUAUGGCUUUGAUACCCUAAUUUGCACAACACUUUUUGUAAAGGCUCAGAACCUUAAAGGAAAUGAAUUUAUAAUUUUAAAUACGAAAGCGAAUAAUAGAGUUAGGGUUCACAUUUCUUAUAUAAUAAUUUAGAAUGUUAAAUAGGGUUACAAGAAUGUCCAUUCAAAAGACAAUAGUAAUUAAAGAAAAACAAAUAAAGAAGAAUCCUGGGACAACCUUUACUAGCACUUCCCGUUCGGUAGUGAACUACUCAUAACCUUUUUAUCGAUCGAAAUUUGGAUCUUGAUCUUCUUGAUCUAAAAUAAUUAAUGAAAUAAUGAGCUACACUAACCCAGUAAGAAUAUUACACUAAUCACAGAUACAAAAAACUGAAGAUUUGGUAAAAAUCGUAAAAUAACUAAUGAAGCCCUUAAUUUGAGUAAAUUCAUUCAAUAUAAAGAAAAAUUGUUUAUUCUAUACUUACUGUAACGAGCUUUUCAAAAACAACCUAUGAAGACCCAUAUUAAUACCACUUUUUAUUUUCACGCAUAAGAGAAUAAGAGACGAUAACUUUUCUUUCUUACCUGCUUACUGGUACCCUUGGGGGUCCAUAGGGAUGUCACCCUUCUCGUGAACCCAAUAUCCAAUUCAAACAAUUAACUGAUCGUCCCCAUACCUCGUCUGGUAAUGGGCACAAAACAUUCCAUCAUCUCGAUACCCCGUUCGGUAUGAGGGUAAACCAUAUCUCCCAAACUUUUCCAGUUAGGGACUUUCCAGCCCUGUUCGACUGAGAUAACGUUCACGGUAGGGUUUCCUAUGUACCGGACUCAUUUGCCCUUUUCCUGGGUACCCAAUAAAUCUUUUACAAGAAGAUUCUCAUCAACAAAACAACCAACCACGCAUACCAAUAUCUCAUAUUAUAUUUACAGAUUAAUUAAACUAUAUUCAUGCUGAUGGUAUAUAACUAAAUAAACCAGAUAAAUUGAUAAGACUAUAGAAAAUAUAAUUUAAGAACAUGCACCAUAUAAUAACAGGCAAAUAGAGCAGUACAGAAAAAUAAACAGAAAAUCGGAACAAUCGUGAACUAACCGUUUUGGCUCUACUAGUGACCUGUAAUUAUUUUUAGAAUUUUUUAAUUUUUUUUCAUAAAAACACAAAAUUAUUUAUCGUUGAAUCUCAGUUUACCGUAACAUAGAAUAGAGUGAGCAAUCCUUACUCAAAUCGGUGUUUCAAGACAUCGCUUUGUCUACUACGUCUCCUAAUAGGUACCAGAUUUUUUGAAUUCUUUUUUGUAAAAAUCCAAAACACUCGUCAUAUACUUAAAAAUAUCCCAAAAAUCUAAAAUUAGUGUCCAAAACUCUUUCAAGCCAAUUUUAGGGUUCCAACACGGCGACACUGCCGUGCUCCGGUAUUGGCUCCGCCGCCCACGAUAGUGGUUCAACUCGGCAUGGCUAGUUUUGGCUGGGUUUGGCCGAUUUUAUACGUAUCCCUGCAGAAAAAUACAUUAGGGUGUCUUGGUUGGCUGGAAAAUCACAAAAAAUCAAACCUACAGCUGGGGUGGGGGGGGGAACCUUCAGGUGCGGCAGCUUUACCGAUCCUCCUUCGCAGCUGGGAUUCUUUUUUUUCUUUGACUAACCUGUACAAAAAAGGGUAGUGAACACAAUAACUAGACAAUUGCGUUAAACGAGAAGUAGAAAGGGGCUCAUCGGAGAGAUUUUUUAGUUUUGGCCACAGCAGCUUUGCUGGGUUUUGCUCACGAUUUCUAGCUCACCCGUCGUUCCUCUUGCUCUGUUUUGGCCACAUGGAUGCUCGGAAUUGAAUUCUAAAUAGGUAGGAAAUUUUUACCUUUUCUGGCGGCCGGCUGUGGCUCCAGUGCAGCGAGGGUCGGCAGUCGGCCUCCUUCUCUAGCGCUUGGUUCUUCUUCUCUGGUGGGGGGCUGCCAGCUAGGGUUUGGGUCCCCAUGCGACGUGAACUAUUUAUACCAAUCCCGCAUCAAUAUGGGUUGUUCAUUUCGAUUGAUCUUUUCCAUCCGAUUGUGCCUAAGGAGGGAACAAAUCUGAGACGUCCAUGCGCGCAGGAUGGAUCCUGUGCCAUUCGAUCGUUGGAUACGCUAAUCUCCCACGUAGCCUCCUACGUAGUGCCGACGUCAGCAUGUUUUGCUACACGGCGUGCUCCGGUUCGUCAAGAUUGGUGACUGGGACGCCCUACGUGAUUGAAUUUUUUCUUUUUGUACUUUGACCCCCUAUUUCUAAUUUUACUUUCAAAAACACCUCCCAAACUUAAAUUUUUACCCAUUUUUUUCAAAAAUUUUUUUGAUUACAUCUCCAACCUACUUUUUUCAAUAAUUUAACAAAAUUAAAUUAAAUUAAUUUAUAAAUAAUAUAUUUAUUUAUUUUUAAAUUACCAAAAUUGAUCCCAGGCUAAUUUUCUGGCUCGGGUAUUAUAACUCUCCCCCCUUAAGAAGAAAUAUGGUCCCACAUAAUUGUCACCCUCUCACUUAGUUAAACAGUUAGAGAUACUGGGAUUUGAAGUCCAAUUCUAGCUCCUAUGUGGCCUCUUUCUGUUUGUGAUUCUACCAUAGGAGCUUGACGAAGGAAAUUUCUCUGUUAUAGAGUACUCUACUUUUUCGAUCUACAAUACUCGCUGGUACCUCCUCAUAGGAUAGAUCCUCUUGAAGUAAAAGGGGCUCGUGGGGCAGGAUGUGUGUGAGGUAUGGGUUGUACUUGCGUAGCAUAGAUACGUGGAACACAUUAUGAACCUUGGAUAACUUUGAAAGUAGUGUCAGUCUGUAGGCGGUCGUACCAAUCCGGUCUAAGAUCUCGAAUGGCCCGAUGAACCGGGGAUUUAAUUUUUUCCUCUUCCCAAACUUACUGAUCCCAUUGAAAGAAGUGACCUCAAGAAACACUCAAUUAUCUUUCUUAAAUUUCAAAUCCCUCUUCCAGAUGUCUGCAUAACUUGUCUGUCUGCUCUAAGCUGUCUGGAUAUUCUUCCUGAUCUUAACUAUUUUGGUUGUAGUCUCCUCCAUAAGAUUUAGACUAAAUAAUUUUCUAUCACCAAUCUCUUCUCAACAUAUCGUCGAUCUGUAUGGGCGGCUAUACAAUGCCUCGUACGGAGCCAUGUCGAUACUUGCCUGGUAGCUGUAAUUGUAGUGAGCUCUAUCAAAGAUAGAUAAUAAUCUCAAUGGCCCCCAAAGUCUAAAACACAAGUUCGGAGCAUAUCAUCCAAUGUGCCAAUCAUUCUCUCUCAUUAUCCAUCAGUUUGAGGGUAGAAUUAGGUACUAAGGGACAAUUUCAUUCCCAUGACUUACCAAAAACUAGAACAAAAUCGAAAAGUGAACCUGGGUCUCUAUUGGAUACUAUUAACACUAGAACUCCAUGUAACCUGACUAUCUCCCGGAUGUACAUUCUUGCUAACUUGUCCAAAAGGUCGGUCAUAUUUGAUAGAUAAAAAGUAGGAAGAGUUAGUGAGUUGGUCGAUAAUUACUCAAAUGAUAUCAUGUCCUGAGCGUGCCUUAGGCAACCCUGUCACGAAAUUCAUUGUGAUAUAUUUCUACUUUUACUCCGGGAUCUGUAAUGGCUGAAGUAGCCUCCUUAGGUGUUGAUGUUUUGUCUUAACCUGUUGACAUAUGAGAUAUUUGAAAAUAAAGUCGGCUACCUCUCUUUUCAUCCCGCUCCACCAAAAUCGGAGUUACAUACUUUGAUACAUUUUUGUAUUUUUAGGAUGCAUGGCGAAUUUUGAGCUAUGAGCACUGUCAUGAUGUCUUUUUUUAGUUCACUGUCACCUAGAAUAUACACCGUGUCUUGAAAUCUGAGCAACCUAUCGGCAGAGACUCGGAAUUCUGAAUUUGUACCCUGUUCUGCAUCCUUCCUGAGAGCUGCUAGGGUAGAAUUGGUGGAUUGGGCUUCCUUUAUUCUCUAAAUCAACUUGGGUUGAAGUCGUAGCUGUUGUGCGAUCCCUAUUAUCUUACAUUCAUAAACCAUUAGGUGAGCUAACAUACCUGCACUUUUUCUACUGAACGGGUCAGCUACCACAUUGUCCUUGCCUCGGUAAUACAAAAUGUUUUAAUCGUAGUCUUUGAGGAGCUCUAUCCAACACCUCUGACGCAUGUUGAGAUCUUUUUGAGUGAAUAUGUGCUUCAAACUCUUAUGGUCGAUAUAAAUUUUAAAAGUCUCCCAAUACAGGUAGUGGAAUCAGGUCUUCAAGACGUAGAUAAUGGCAGCAUGUUCUGAGUCAUGGGUGGCGUAACUUUUCUCAUGACUCUUCAAUUGCCUAGACCCAUUGGCUAUGACCUUCUCAUGCUGCAUCAUAACAUAACCUAACCCAGGUAUGUGGCAUCACUAUAAACUGUAUAUCCACCUGUCUCACUCAGUAAAGUCAAUAUGGGUGCAGUAGUCAACCGUUUCUUGAGUUCUGUAAAGUUUCUUUCGCAGGCCUCGUUCCAUUCAAACUUAACGUUCCUUCUUUGUGAGCUGGGUCAAAGGAGUGAUUAGGCUAGAAAAUCAUUCCACAAACCUACGGUAAUAACCUGUUAUUCCCAGAAAGGUACGAAUCUCCUUAACUAAGGUUAAUUUUUCCCAACCAAGCACUGCCUCAACUUUUUUGGGGUUCAUUGAUACUCCAUCCCUUGAUAUGAUGUGCCCUAGGAAGGUGGUCUGCUCGAGUAAGAACCCACACUUGCUUAAUUUUGCAUACAACCUUUUCUCCGUGAGAACCUGCAAAACCUGAGUCAGGUAGUGAACGUGUUCCUCUCUACUUUUUGAAUAGAUAAGGAUAUCAUCGAUAAAUAUAACGACGAACUAAUCUAGGAAUUGUUUGAAAACCUUAUUCAUUAAGUCUAUAAAAAUGGCUGGUGCGUUGGUUAGUUCAAAUGGCAUGACCAGGAACUCAUAGUGUUUGUAUCUGAUUUUAAAGGCUGUCUUGAAAAUAUAUUCUACCCUGAUCUUUACCUGAUGAUAACCCGAACGCAAGUCUAUUUUGGAGAAGACCUAGGCAUCCUGCAACUCGUCAAAAAGGUCAUCGAUCCUGGGGAGGGAGUACUUGUUCUUGAUCGUGACCCUAUUCAAUCCCCUGUAGUCAAUACAUAAUCUUAAUGUCUCAUCCCUUUCAUUUAUAAAUGUGACUCCAGCACCCCAAUGUGACACAGUAUGUCAGAUGACCCCACUAUUCUGUAAUUCAUUGAUCUGUUUCCUCAACUCUUCCGUCUCAACACGACUCAUGCGGUAAGGGAUAACCGAUAUAAGCUGGGUGUCAAGGUGGAGAUCUAUGGUGAACUCAACUUCUCUAUCCACUGGCAGUCCGGGUAGUUCAUCAAAAAACACAUCCGAAAAAUUUCGGAUUACUGGAAUCUCUUGAAUGCAAUUUUUUUCUUAAGUUUGCCUAAUAUAGAGAAAACAACCGAGUUAAAUUACUAUAUAAUAAGAAAAUUGCGAUGAGAGAAUAAUAUUCAAAUUUUUUUAUUAACUUGUACAUGGUGUGAAUAGAGCUUAUUCCAUGGUGAUUAGUGUUGAAAAAUAAAGAAGAGUAUACAAUAUCAACUCACCUGAAUGAGCGCUCGCUGCAUUUUACACCAAACUGAAAGACAAUUCAAAAUUUUCAAACCGAAAAAAGGAAAAAGACAGCAGGACAUGCACUUAUUAUAGAAACACAGGGCACACGAAGGACACAUGCUUUAAGCUCUAUAGCUACCCAGAAUGGUUUGCAGAACUUAAAGGGAAAAGAAGUAAAGAGAAAGCCAAUGCAUUGGAAAAUAAUGCCCCUGAUGGCAGCAAAAUAGAAGCAUCCAAUACAAACUGGGGUACAUAAAUGGCCACACUCAUACAAUAAGAGAUAAGCAACUACAUGAAAAACCAAAGAGCAAACACAGCAUAAUCGGCAGGAUACGUGGGCUAUUCUGGCCCCACUGGUAAGCAACCUAAAUGUUAUUUUUUACAUGCCUCUAAUGAUACAGGAACUUGGAUAAUAGACACAGGUGCUACAUCACACAUAUACCAUGAUUUUAAAAUUCUUUCAAAACCUGUAAAACUAGAACCUACAGUGCAUGUCUCGCUACCAAACAGAACCACGAGUCAUUCAACUCACAAAGGAACCAUAAAACUGUGUGAUAAUCUAAUUCUGCAGGAUGUCCUCUAUAUACCAAAAUUCACUUAUAACCUUAUUUCUGUCAGAAAGCUAACCCAAGCUUCAAAUACCUACAUUUCCUUUCAUCCCAACUAUUGUUUUGUGCAAGAUUCGACAACAAACAAAAUAUUAAGGAAGGGAACAAUACUGAAGGGCCUACACACCUUGAGUGAAGACAUAGACUCUAAUAAAACAUGCAUCAGUCACAUUCAAGAAAACAACCUACAACUAUGGCACAAAAGACUUGGCCACACAUCCACAAAAAAUUGAUCCACAUCCCCAGUCUAAAGUUACCAAGCAGUGCAGCUUUACAUGAUUGUGAAAUAUGCCCUUUGACAAAACAACAACAUUUGUCUUUUCCUAAAAGUUUCAUCAAUACCAGUGACAUUUUUAGUUUAAUACAUGUUGAACUUUCGGAACCAUACCCGAUCAAUUGUAUUUCUAGUGCACUCUAUUUUUUAACCAUAGUUGAUGAUUUUUCAAGAGCCACUUGGACUUAUUUAUUAAAAGAGAAAAUGAGUGUACCAAAUACCUUAAAAUAUUUUUGUGAUCUAAUACAAAAUCAAUUUCAGAAAACAAUAAAAACAGUUAGGACAGACAAUGGCACUGAGUUCAUAAACACCUCGUGCAAAACUUUUUUUCAAGAAAGGGGAAUCAUGCAUAACAAACCUGUACAUACACACCACAGCAAAAUGGUGUGGUGGAAAGGAAACAUAAACACCUACUGCAAAUUGCUAGGGAAUUGAUGUUUGAAUCAAAAUUACCAAAAAGGUUUUGGGAUGAAGCCAUACUCACAGCCACACAUAUAAUAAACGUUUUGCCAAGCUCUGUUUUAAAGUGAAAAAUUCCUUAUGAAAUUUUGUACAAAAAACAACCAGAUUACUUAAACCUAAAAGUCGUCGAUUGUCUAUGUUUUGCUAUAAAUAUUAACCUCAAAAAGACAAGUUUGAUCACAGGGCUUUAAAAUGUGUUUUCUUAGGAUACGCACCCGAUGCUAAGGCCUACAAUUUAUAUGAUAUAAGAAACAGAAAAACGAUUUUGUCAAGGGAUGUCAUAUUCCAUGAAUAUAUUCUCCCAUACUAAAUACAACACCCUAAACCAGAUUACUAUGACACACCAAGUGGCCAAUACCAAGCACCGACACAGUAACCACACCUGAAAACCAGUUACAAAGAAGAGAAGAAAUUCCCUUACCAAACAUCAUUCCCCAAGAGUCUGAAAUGAGGAGGAGCAUAAGGGUGAGAAGCAGGCCUGCCUGGAUGAAAGACUUUGUCGCUCAUACCACUGAACAACCUGUGCCCGAACCUCCCUUCCUCAUGUCCACCUCACUUGCAUACACUCAUGGCUAUGUUAAUUUCAUUGUACAAAUGUUUAUUACGAAGGAACUAAUGUCAUGCAGGGAUGCUAAAAAGGACAGCAAGUGGGUUGAGGCCAUGCAAGUCGAGCUGUCUGUACUAGAAGAAAAUAACACUUGGGAACUAACUGCACUACCAAAAGGGAAGAAAGCAAUCGACUCAAAAUGGGUGUAUAGAAUAAAAUACAAUGUCGAUGGAUCAGUUGAUAAAUACAAAGUAAGACUCAUGGCUAAAGGUUACAACCAAGAGUUUGGCAUAAAUUGUUAUGAUAGUUUCUCACCAGUUGCCAAAAUGGUCAUGGUUCGACUAUUUUUAGCCAUGACAGCCGCAAGUGAUUGGCCAGUAUAUCAAUUAGACAUCAAUAAUGAGUACCUACAUAGGUUUAUAGAAGAGGAGCUAUACCUAAAAUCCCCAGAGGGCUACUUCAAAGCCAGUGAAGGGCAGGUCUGCCGUUUAACUAAGAGCCUAUACGGCCUGAAACAAGCGGGUCGCCAGUGGAACAAUGAGCUUACUUCAAAGCUCCAAUCCAUCGGCUUCACCAAGUUAGAAGCCGACUAUUGUCUAUUCACAAAAGGAACAAAAGGAAACUAAGUUGUAGUUGUGGUAUAUGUGGAUGACUUACUUAUUACGGGUCCUAAUGACGAAGAGAUUUGUGAAGUCAAAAGCGCUAUAGAUGAAGCCUUCACGGUCAAGGACCUCGGCCAAACAAGAUACUUCCUUGAAGUCAAGAUAGCUAGGUCAAAAGAAGGAAUCUACAUCAGCUAGAGAAAAUACAUUAAAGACAUUUUACAUGAUACAACUGUAACACCCAAAAUUUUUCCUUAUUAUUUUAUUUCAAUUUUUAUUGGAAUUUUGUUUAAUUUUAUUCUAUUUUAAUUUUUAAUUUAUAAGGUUUUAAUUUAAUUUAAUUUAAUUUAAUAGAAAUAAUAAUAAUAAUAAUAAUAAAAUGGGGUAAAAUUAUUUUUUGGAUUUAAUUGAAAUUGAUUUUGAGAAAAAGAGGUGAAAAUUUAGAUUAUGAGGGUGUUUUUGAAAAGAAAAUUGAAAACUGGGGGGUCAAAAUGCAAUUUAAAAAAAUAGCACCACGUCAGCAGCUUUAGCCAACCAGGACACGCUGCGUGGCAGGGACGCUGACGUGGGAAGCCAUGCAGGAUGGAGACACGUGGGAGAUCCGUGUGUGCGCGAUCGGACAACCAAGAUCCGUUCCCGCGCGCACGGACGGUCCAGAUCAAAAACGCGCAUGGACGGCCCAGAUCUCAUGCGUGCAGAUGGCCCAGAUUUGAUCACACACGGAUGAUCCAGAUUUAUUUUCAAUUUAAUCGCGAUCGGACGACCUAGAUUAAAUCAUGAUGGAUGGCUCAUAUUAAAAGAGAAAGGUUAUAAAUAAUCGCAUCCACACCCAACCCCAAACCCUAACAGCAAGAACCCUUGCCGGAGAAGACGACCUAGCCACCGGAGGAACCGGCCGUCGUACCGGAGGAUUUUUCGACCGUCAAACGAGGUAAAAUUUCUCUCCUUUGCUUGUUUUUCGAUGUUGAACCUCCUUGUGGCCAAAUCGGAGCCAAACCACUGGCUAGUUUGCCGAAAAAUACUGCUGAAGUCCAGCGGCGUCGCCGCGGGUUUCCUCAAUUUUACCUCCAAUGAGGCUCUUCUUGGUUCCCGUUUGAUGUAAGUUUUAUACUACUAUGACCACCGUCCUUUUCGCUACAGGUUGACCAGAGCAAAACACCAAAUCGCAACUCGCACCGGAGGAGCUGCCACACCCGAGAGCUUCCCUGCCGGUAAGUCUCAAUUUUUUAGAAUUUUUUGGACCACCGAUGGCCCUAUGGGUGUUUUAUCACAGGAGCCAAUGCAAGUUUGGCUGAAUUUGGCCAAAAACGACCAGAAACGGCCAACCUGAGGCGGAUUGCCACCGUGGGUGACGGUGCCGUCGUCGCCGGAGCACGGUGGAGCCACCAUGCCGGAAUUCUGAAAUUGGCUGAAAGGGCCCUGGGUCUGAUUUGAGAUUUUUUGGGGACAUGUGCAAGUACCAAAAGUGUGUUUCAGUUUCCGGAAAAAAAUUUAGGGAAUCUAGGGACUGCCCGUAGGCACAGUGAGAACCCGAUUUCAAACUCUGAAACAAGUAAGGAUCUCUCACCCUAUUUCUUAUUACGGCAUUAAAGCUUAAUAAAUGAUAAAAUGGUAUGUUAUGAAUUAAUAGAUAUGUAUAAUUAAUUAAGGUUGCCAAUGGAGCCCGAAUCUGAUGUAUUUUUCGGUCAGGUGUUGUUUGAUUUAUUUUACAGUUUUGAAUGUAGUAUGAUGCCUGAUGUAUUUAUUCUAUGGUUUCGUAUGUAUGAAUCACGAUUUCAUUUAUUAUGGUUUGAAUUAUUGUGAACCUGAUGUUGUCUUGUCUUGUUUGGUGUCCGUUACUGGUUUACGUAUUUAUGUUUGAUUGGAUAAUUGAGACUAAAAAAAAAUAAAAAAAGGUAUGUGAAUUAAUAAAUAGAUAAUGUUCGACAGCCUAACUAGAUAUCCUGGGAGAUGGUGGACGGACCGGAUCCAUAGGGAACCCGACCGGGACGUGGUCUCUCAUAUCGGACGGGGUAUGGAGACUUUAUGUGUUUUCACGCCCACACCGGACGAGGUAUGGGGAGGGCCCGUUUCACCCUCAUAUCGGACGGGGUAUGGAGACUUUAUGUGUUUUGGCGCCCAUACCGGACAGGGUAUGGGGACGACCCGUUUUAACCUCAUACCGGACAGGGUAUUGAGGUUUAUGGUUUUGGUGCCCAUACCGGACGGGGUAUGGGGAUGGCUCUGGAAUUAAGUUAUUAAUGUGAAUGGUUCAUGUGUAGUGGGGAACCCCUAUGGAUCCCCAUGGAUACUAGUAGGCUGAUAAAAGAAGAAAUUUGUUGUCUGAUAAUUAAAAUACAAAAGUAUGACAUGUACUAUGAUACAGAUUAUGCAUGAAUUCAUGAUAUUUAUGAUGUUAUUAUUUUCAUAGGUCGUUUUCAUGAAUCUCACUGAGGUAAGUGGAUAGUAAAGGUUUUUAUUAUUGAUAAAUGAGUUUGUUAUAAAUUAUGCUCUAUUGGUCCUUUUUGUUUUCUACCAACCUUUACUUCUGUGACAGUGAGAUAGUGUGAUGUCUUUACUGGGCUAGUGUAGCUCAUUCCUUACUUAACCAUUUCAGAUCAGGAGGACUUGGUUCCCGAGAACAUUAUGCAGGAAGACGGCGAGUAGAAGCCAAAGAAUUUAUUAGUUUUUCUUAUAGCAUUCAUUCAUAGUACUUACUUUAAGUUAGUUUAUUCUUUCAUACGUUUAAUUCGUUUUGGUUAUUAUGUAAGGGAUGUUAAUCAUAAUCUAUUUUAUUUUGCUUCCACACUUAGAAUAAAUAUAUACAUUUCCUUUUAAUUUCCGGGGCCAUUACAACAACGAUGGAAGAUGCAAAAGAAAGCCACUUUCCCCUGUCUUCCAGACUAAAACUAAAUGCAAAAGAAUGAGAAAUCUUACUAGAUCCGGAGAGGUACAGACGUCUAAUCGGCUGCUUGCUCUACCUCAUUUUUACCAGACCCGAUAUAACAUACUCCACCCAACAUCUCAAUCAGUUCAUGCAAUAGCCCAAACGACCGCAUCUCGACGUCGCACUACAUGUUGUCAGGUACCUAAAAUAAUAGUCGGAGCAAGGCAUCUUAUUCCCGAGAAGGAAUAACCUUAAAGUUUAAGGCUUUUGUGACUUGAACUGGGCAUCGUGUCUAAUGACCCGCAAAUCCUUCAUGGGCUUCUGUAUCUUCCUCGGGCCUGCACUAAUCUCCUAGAAAAUAAAGAAACAAACUAUGGUGAGCAAGUCUUCCAUAGAAGUUGAGUACAGAAGUAUGUCAUCCACAAUAUGUGAAGUUUAGUGGAUAACAUAUCUCCUUUCAGAUUUUCAAAUAGUACCUCACUUACCCGUAAUACUGAACUGCGAGAACAAAGUCGCUGAACAUAUUGCAGGAAAUUCGAUCUUUUACGAACGAACGAAGUACCUCGACAUCAAUUGCCACAUAGUUCGCAACCAGGAACAAAAGGGCUUCGUCGAAAUGAAACACAUCUCUCGAGAGAACAACUCGUCGAUAUGCUCACGAAACCUUUAGGAACCUCAGCACAUCACCGACUUAUAUUCAAGACUAAACACCUGCAACAUAAAAGCAUAAAGGGUUAAAGAAGUGGUGGUGAGGAACUUGAAGAGUCAAAAGUGAACAGGCUUCAUCUUGAAGAAUGGGUGAAAAGAAUUAAGUGUAAAAAAGGGGAAAAGGCUGAAAGAAAAUGAAUAGGUGGACCGCCCAAAUCAAAACUCUAAAAUGAAAGGUCAAUAUUUUUUCUGUUUUAAAAUUAGUUACUGUUGGGGACAAUUGGUGGUCUUAGUAGAUUCUAGAGACCACCUUCCCCCUUUUUCUUUUACUCUCCUGCAUGUUUAUAAAUUUCCAAUGCUUCUACACAAUAAACAAUGCAGAAAAUUAAAUAGCAUUAAAUACCCCAUAUUCACCCGGUUGAGUUUCUUUAGAGUGUGUGUUUAGAUAUACAUAUAUAUAUAUAGAGAGAGAGAGAGAGAGAGAGAGAGAGAGAACAAUAAUUGAGGUGGUGAGAUACAUGAGAAUAGGGAGUGGGGAAGGUGGAAGCUUAUCUAAUGAUUCUAUAAAAUUUUAAUUUCAUUUUGAUUGGGUCGCACGAAUCAUUUGCAAACCAACAAAAUUAAUCUUUCACAUCUCUAAAUUUUUCUACUUUCAUUAUUUUAAUUAAUAAAUAUUGCUCCAUCAAUUUUAUUUGUUUUCUUCUCCUAACCCAUCUAUCCUUUUUCUUUUCCUCAAUUAAUGCAUGUACUACCCACUUUCUAAAUCUUAUAAACAAUACUUAAAUAAUUCAUUCAUAAUAUAAAACUUAAUUUAAAAAUUAUAUUAAAUAUGAAUAUAUUUUAUACCCACUUAAAUAAUUCAUUUUAUAUAUUCUAAUUAAAAAAUUUAACUACUAAAAAUUACUUCUUUUAUUUAAAAAUAUUAUAAAUUUAUUAAAGUGUACGUGUCUACCAAAUUCCCAAACUUUAUAAGCCAGCAUUUUUUUAAUCAAAAUACAGCUAAUUAAGGCUUGCCUACACGCUACUUCCGAAAAUUGUUGUUGCUUUCAGCCUUCCGUUAAUUUCUGGUUUAUAUAUUAAUUUGAGUUAUUUGUUUUAAAUAUAUAAUAUUGAUUAUAUUUAGGAUCUCAGUUAUUUUAUGCUUAUUGUAAUGUCUAAAUUUAAUUUAAUAUAAAUUAAAUUAAUUUAUAAUUGUAAUUUUUUAAUUUUUUAAUUUUAAUUUAGUAUAAAAAUAAAAGAAAUUUGAUGGAGGAUGAAAUUGGAAAUAAUUUUGAAAAAAAUGGAUGAAAAUUUGGGUUCUGUGGGUAUUUUUGCCAUGUGGCACACUCCGGUUCGUCGAGACUGCUUACUGGGCAUCUUACGUGACAUAAUUUUUUAAAUUAUAUUUUGACUUCUAGUUUCUGAUUUUUCUUUCAAAAAUACCCAAAAAAUCUAAAUUUUCACUCAUUUUUUUUAAAAUUAUUUUCAAUUUCAUCAUCUACCUAUUUUUUUUCAUUUUUAUAUUAAAUAACAAAUUCAAAAAUUAAACAAUUAUAUUUAUACAUUAAUUUUGAUAUAAUUAAAAUUAAUUAAUGGUAUUACAACUCCCCCUUAAAAGAAAUUUGGUCUCUCAAAUUUGUCUCUCUCUCGCACUCAAUCAAACAGUUGGGGAUAUUGGGCUCUGAAGUCUGAUUUUAGCUCUCAUGUGGCCUCUCCCAGUUUGUGAUUCUGUCAUAGGACCUUAACGAAGGGAAUUUUUCAGUUGUGGAGUUCUCUGCUCUUUCGGUCCGCAAUGCCGACCGGUAUCUCCUCGUAGGACAGAUCCUCCUGGAGCAAAAUGGGCUCGUGGGUCAGGACGUGAGAGGAGUCCAGAUUGUACUUGCGUAGCAUGGACACAUGGAACACAUUAUGGACCCUAAAUAGGUCUGGAGGCAGUGUCAGUCUGUAGGCGGCAGUGCCAAUUCUGUUUAAGAUUUCAAAUGGCCAAAUGAACUGGGGAUUUGGUUUCUCCAUCUUGCCAAACCUACUGAUUCUUUUGAAAUGAGUGACCUUAAGGAAUACCCGAUCACCUUUCUCAAAUUCCAAAUCCCUCCUCUGGGUAUCCACAUAACUCUUCUACCUGCUCUGACCCGUUUUAAUGUUCUUCAUGAUCUUAACUAUUUUGGUUGUAGUCUCCUUUAGACAAUCUGAGCCGAACAAUUUUUUAUCACCUACUUCUUCCCAACAGAUCGACGAUCUGCAUGGACGGCCAUACAACGCAUCGUACGGAGCCAUGACAAUACUUGCUUUGUAGCUGUUGUUGUAGGCGAACUCUAUUAAGCGUAAAUGAUUAUCCCAAUGGCCUCCGAACUUAAAAACACAAGCUCGGAGCAUAUCCUCCAGUGUGUGAAUCGUCCUUUCUGAUUGUUCAUCUGUCUGAGGGUGGAAUGCAGUACUAAUGGAUAGUUUUGUUCUCAUGACUUGCUGAAAACUAUACCAGAACCGAGAAGUGAACUUGGAGUCUCUGUCAGACACUAUUGUCACUAGUCCAUGUAAUCUGACUAUCUCCCGGAUAUAUAUUUUUGCUACAUUGUCCAAUGGGUCGAUCAUCCUGAUGGCUAAGAAGCAGGAAGACUUAGUGAGCCAGUCAACAAUUACCUAAAUGACAUCAUGUCCCAAGCAUGCCCUAGGUAAUCCUGUCAUGAAAUUCAUUAUGAUAUGUUCUCACUUCUACUCCAAAAUUGGUAAUAGCUGAAGUAGCUCGCUUGGGCGUUGAUGAUUUACCUUGAUUUGUUGACAUACCAAACACUUGGAAACAAAGUUGGCCACUUCUCUUUUCAUUCAAUUUCCCCAGAAUCAAGGUCGCAUACUUUGAUACAUCUUAGUGCUUUCAGGAUGCAUGGUAAACUUUGAGCUAUGGGCCUCUAUCAUGAUGUCCAUUUUCAACUCAUUGUCACCUGGAACACCCACCCUAUCUUGAAAUCUAAGCAACCCAUUGGUAAAUACUCGAAAUUCUAAGUUAACUCUCUGUUCUGCAUCUUUCUUGAGGGCUACUAGGGUGGAAUCGGUGGACUGAGUUUCUUUUAUUCUCCAUAUCAACUUAGGUUGAACAGUCAGGUGGGCCNNNNNNNNNNNNNNNNNNNNNNNNNNNNNNNNNNNNNNNNNNNNNNNNNNNNNNNNNNNNNNNNNNNNNNNNNNNNNNNNNNNNNNNNNNNNNNNNNNNNNNNNNNNNNNNNNNNNNNNNNNNNNNNNNNNNNNNNNNNNNNNNNNNNNNNNNNNNNNNNNNNNNNNNNNNNNNNNNNNNNNNNNNNNNNNNNNNNNNNNNNNNNNNNNNNNNNNNNNNNNNNNNNNNNNNNNNNNNNNNNNNNNNNNNNNNNNNNNNNNNNNNNNNNNNNNNNNNNNNNNNNNNNNNNNNNNNNNNNNNNNNNNNNNNNNNNNNNNNNNNNNNNNNNNNNNNNNNNNNNNNNNNNNNNNNNNNNNNNNNNNNNNNNNNNNNNNNNNNNNNNNNNNNNNNNNNNNNNNNNNNNNNNNNNNNNNNNNNNNNNNNNNNNNNNNNNNNNNNNNNNNNNNNNNNNNNNNNNNNNNNNNNNNNNNNNNNNNNNNNNNNNNNNNNNNNNNNNNNNNNNNNNNNNNNNNNNNNNNNNNNNNNNNNNNNNNNNNNNNNNNNNNNNNNNNNNNNNNNNNNNNNNNNNNNNNNNNNNNNNNNNNNNNNNNNNNNNNNNNNNNNNNNNNNNNNNNNNNNNNNNNNNNNNNNNNNNNNNNNNNNNNNNNNNNNNNNNNNNNNNNNNNNNNNNNNNNNNNNNNNNNNNNNNNNNNNNNNNNNNNNNNNNNNNNNNNNNNNNNNNNNNNNNNNNNNNNNNNNNNNNNNNNNNNNNNNNNNNNNNNNNNNNNNNNNNNNNNNNNNNNNNNNNNNNNNNNNNNNNNNNNNNNNNNNNNNNNNNNNNNNNNNNNNNNNNNNNNNNNNNNNNNNNNNNNNNNNGGAGGUCUGGUUUGCUUCUAAUUUCUCGGGCACUCCCUCGCGUAAUGCUGGGCACUCCCACAUAUGUGGCAGGUAUUGUUGAGACAAUAGCAGGGUCAGUCCACACGAUCUUUGCCACAGUUUUGGAAAGUCUUGCUGUGUCCUGUUGUUAGAAUUUGAGAAGGAGCCUGAGUCAUUGGCCUAGGUCUCUUGUUAUGCUGAAUAUGUGUAGUAGGUGCUGGUAUACGGUGUGAAAUCGGGGGCCUGAGAUUCCCUACUGCUGGAGAGAAAAUGCAAAAGUUCCUCUCCACUAACUGUGUCUUAGCCAGAACAGUCGAGUAAGUACUGAGCUCGAAUACAUAUAACUGUUGUCUGAUAUUAGGACGGAGGCCCCACUCGAACUUUCUUACCUUUCUACCUUCAUCCAUCAUGCUCUCAGAGGAAUACUGGCCCAACUCUAAGAACUUUUGGGCAUAUUCUAAUACAGUCAUGCCACCUUGGAUCAGGUGUGCAACUUCAUUUCUUUCAGAUAUUAGAGAUGUUCUGAGAGGUACUCUGCAUUAAAGGUCAUCAAGAAUUGUUCCCAAAUGAUUGGAACGGGCAAGAUGGCCUGCUUGAGGUGCCACCAGUGGCCUGCUUCUCCCACCGGUAUGUUGGUGGCAAGUAUGACCCUCUGUUCGAGAAUCACUCCAAGGGUCGUGAAGGCAUUCUCUGUCUCAACUAAAUAGUACUCAGCUUCUUCAAAGGAAGAUCUUCCUAUAAAAGUAGAUGAGUUUAGUCUUUUAUACCUCUCAAUAUAGCCUGGGUUCAUCAUGGGAGGAAUUGGGUUCCAUGAGAGAUGGACUGGAUUGUACUGGGGAUGGACUUGAUGGCCCUGUGGUAGCACUGGAUUAUACGGCAGAGGCACCAGAUUAUACUGUGGUAGUGCCGGGUGAUGUAGUUAGGGCACCGGGAUAUACUGUGGUGGUGUCGGGUGGUACUAUGGCUAUGGCACCAGAUCAUACUGUGGUGGUGCUGGAUGGUACUAUAGAGGAGCAGGGUCGUAUUAAGGUGGCUCAGGAUCCUCUCGCUGUAGGGGUGGCUCAAACUUGUGGCAGCGGGGGAGGGUCGGUAGCUCCCUCCUUUCUUCUCGGGCCUGCUGGGCAGCGAUGAGUCUCUCCAGUAUUUCAAAUAGCCGGUCAACAUUCUCUCGAAGCGAACCCUCUCGGGCUGCUCGGUUUAGUGAAGGUAUUCCUCUCCUCAUCUAUCUGUACCUGCAUUUCACAAGGAACAGUUGAGUGAUAAUUUAUGGUUUUUGGUGUUUCCUAAGGAUUUUGUGUAAGGAAUGGUUCCGAUGAACACAAUUCUGAUACCAACUGUAACAGCCUGUGAACUUGAAAAGAAAUAAAUUAUGAAUUGAAUGCGGAAGCGAAAUAAAUAGUUAGAGUUUACACUCCUUACAGAAUAAUUCAGAUUACCCAAUAGGGUUAGAGGAAUGACCCUUUUAAAUGAAAUAAUGAAAAUCAAAGAAAUAAAUAAAAAAUAAACAAUGGGCAUCCUAUUCGCAACCCUCUUGUGGAUCAGGCUCUGGAUCUUGGUCCUCUUGAUCUGAAAUGGUUAAUGAAAGAGUGAGUUACACUAGCCCAGUAAGAAUAUAACACUACUCACCGACACAGAAAUGAAGGUUAGUAAAAAUUCUGAAAAUAAUUAAUGAAGCUCUUAAUUUAAGUAAGUUCGCUUAUCAUAAAUAAAAUUAUUUACUGCAUACUUACCGUAGCAAGAUUUCCAAAACCAACCUAUAGAGUCAUAAUAUAAACAUAUCAUAAUCUCAUAUGCAUCAGUCGCACAACACUUUCUGUUUUAUCAGCUACUGGUAUUCAUGGGGGUCCAUAGGAUGUCCCACUAUGCUGACCCUUUUUUUANNNNNNNNNNNNNNNNNNNNNNNNNNNNNNNNNNNNNNNNNNNNNNNNNNNNNNNNNNNNNNNNNNNNNNNNNNNNNNNNNNNNNNNNNNNNNNNNNNNNNNNNNNNNNNNNNNNNNNNNNNNNNNNNNNNNNNNNNNNNNNNNNNNNNNNNNNNNNNNNNNNNNNNNNNNNNNNNNNNNNNNNNNNNNNNNNNNNNNNNNNNNNNNNNNNNNNNNNNNNNNNNNNNNNNNNNNNNNNNNNNNNNNNNNNNNNNNNNNNNNNNNCCUUUUUUUUAAUAUUUUAAUUAACGAACCAUCACAUACUAUGUCCGGUAUGAGCACCAAAAUACCAUCCCUUAAUACCACAUCCGAUAUGAGGGUGAAAUGAGCCGUCUCCAUACCUCGUCCGAUAUGAGCACCAAAAUACUAAUCCUCGAUAUCCCGUCCAGUAUGAGGCAACGUUCACGAUAGGGUUCCCUAUGUACCCGGUCCGUCCACCAUCUUCUAGGAUAUCCAGUAAGGCUACUGUUCAUCCAUUUACUUAAUCAAACAAUUUUUUUCGUUUACCUUUAAUUUCCAGUUUCCUAAUUUAACUAUAAUUACAUAAAACAAGCAAUACAUGCAUCAAGGAAACACAAUCGCAUCAUCAUACCAAUUUCAAUGUAUUAUCAUUCAUUCGAAACUGUAAAAUCAACUAAUCAGAUAAACACGAAAAACAGUAAUAAAUAACCGGUUUUAGCUCCAUUAGUGACAUGUAAUUAAUUAUAGAUAUUUUUUAAACUACACAAAAUACCAGAUUAUUAUUAAUUAAACUUCAAUUUCAUAACAGGGAAUAAGGUGAGAGAUUCUUACACAAAUUGAUGUUUGAGAUGCUAUUGUACCUAUUGACGGUCCCCGAGUUCUCUAAAUUUUCUUCAGGGAUUAAAACACACUUCAAGUACCUAGAAAUAUCUCAAAAAAAUCUAAAAUCAAUGUUAGAAACCCCUUUUGGCCAAUUCUGAAAUUCUGGCACAUCGGCUCCGCCAUGAUCCGACGAUGGCACUGCCGCCCAUGGCAGCGGUUUACCUCGGGUUGGUCAGUUUUGGUCUUUUUCAGCUGAUUUUGGCAUGUUUUGUAACCAUCCCUGCAAGAAAACAUGUUAAGGGGUCUCAGUUGGCCGAAAAAAGUCAAAAAACUAAAGCUUACCAAUAGCAGAGUUUACCAGUUGGGGGGCUCUGCCAGCUCUCCUUCGCGAUUGGGUAUUUUGCUUCGGUCAACCUGUAUUGAAAAGAAUGGAGAUUAUAAUGGUGAAAAAGUUAAACGAAACAGGAAUCGGGAAGGGUCUCAUCGGAGGCGAUUUUUGCUUUUUUCCACAGCGCUACCGCCAAGUUUUGCCCGCGAUUUCUAACUCAUUUGCCGGUACUUUUUCUCCGAUUUGGCCAUGGGGUGUUCAAAAUUUAAUUUCGAGCAAAUGAGAAAAAUUUUACCUCUUUUGGCGUUCGGAAGUAGCUUCGGCUCGAUGGCAAACGGUGAUCGACUCCUUUCUCGGCGACUGGCUCUUUUUCUCCGGCGGGGGGGUCUGUCGGUUAGGGUUAGGGUUCAGUGUGAAAAGAGUUAUUUAUAUCCGUUUUCUUUUAAUCUGGGUCAUUCAUUGCGUUUGAUCUGAACCGUCCGAUCGCCUUUAAAUAGGAAGUGAAUCUAGACCGUUCGUCGCGAUUUGAUAUGGACCGUCUGAUCACGUUUAAAUAGGAAGUGGAUCUGAACUGUUCAUUGCGAAUUGAUCUGGAUUAUCUGAUCGCGUUUUAAAGCGAGAACGGAUUUGGACCGUCCAUGCGUGCGAGAACAAAUCCGGACCGCCCGAUCACGGGCACGCAAAUCGCCAGCGUGGCCUCUCGCUGGCACUUCGUCAACGUGCCUUGCCACACGGCGCGCUUCGAUUCGUCGGAGUUGCUAACUGAACGUUUUACGUAGCACAAUUUUCUUAAAUUAAGUUCUGACAUCUAUUUUUCGAUUUUUUUAAAAAAAUACUUUCAUAACCAAAAUUUUAACUUUUUUUUUCAAAAUUAUUUUCAAUUUCAUUCUGCACCUAUUUUUCUUUAUUUUUAUAUUAAAUAAUAAAUUAAAAAAUUAUAUUUAUAUAUUAAUUUUGAUAUAAUUAAAAUUAAUUAAAAGUAUUAUAAGCCCUAUUACGUAAAAAUACAAGUUCUAAAGAAAAAAUUAUGCUUAUAGAUCAAAUAUUAGAAAUUAAUGCUAGUUUUUUUUUUCUUAAAAAAAAAAGACAAAUUAUAUAUUUGGGAAAAAUGGUUUUUGAGAUUUUAAGUAUAAAUUUUAAUAAAAACUAAAAUUAUUUUCUAAAAAUUACAUAUUAUAUUUUUUGUAUUUAAAUGUGUUAAAAAUUAGAUUUUAGCUUUUAUUUUUUACUAAAAAUAGUUUGAAUUUUAUGUAUUUAGUUUUAAAAAAUAUAUUUUCGGAAUACAAAAGCCAAGUUAAAAACCCAACCAAAUGCAACUUAAGAAACUGGAGAAAAUAAAAAAUCAAGCAACCAAAUGGAAUUAAAAUGAUUUGCUAAGUAUCAAAAAUCAAGAGUUCUACAAAAAAUUUACGAAUUAGUACGAUAAAAAUAGUUAAAAUCUCUCAGAUGAUUCAGUUAUUCAUUAACCCACUGGCAAUUCAUAUGAUUAAUGCAUGUUGAUUAUAGUCAUCAGUGGUAAUUUUACACAUAUUUAAACUAAAGUACUGUUUUUCUAACUUAAGCUGAAAAAACGAGACCUCCUUCUUCUCCUUCUUUCUCUCCUUCUUCAUCUUCUUCUUCUUCAUGUAACUUGAUCUUCUGGUAUGUUGUGGCUGCGAAUUGACUAUCAGAAACCACGUAAUCAAAAGGUGCAGUCAAUGGGUAAACAAAUAACUCCCUCAAGUUCACAGGCCCAACUACUCCAGGAUCUGCACUCCACAUCA
rnacentral:lncRNA from 1 species